GCAAGAGAGCUAUAGAAAAGUGCAGUGAUGUGCAGAACAGGUGAUCGGAGGUUUCACCCGCCUGGCUGUUGCACUAGGACUCGUUGGGGCCACUGGGGAGUGAGCAGUUGGUACUCAGCACAAGUGUUCCUGGGUGCCCCAGCAGACUCCAGAUGUAGGUAUACUUCAGAUCGUUUAGCUUUUGUGAGCUAAGUAUCAGCUAAUAAUCAACAUCAGGCUGGGAGCUCACUCGAUGCACGCCCAGCUACCAUGGAUCUCAGGCAUCGCCCUUUUCUGCACUUUUUUACCCUAACUAUCGUCUACACUUUCUUAUCCUGUAUUCUAAAACGCAUUAACAUUGCUCUAAAUUUUUCUUUACGAGUAUAGAAUAAAAUAGAAAUAUGCAAAUACUAUGUAUUUUAAUUUUUAGUAUUGGUGAAUUACUAAUUAACUAAUACUACGAUAAGCAGGUACAAAGACUAUAUUACACAGUAUAUCUAUUUUUCUCUACAUUCUUUGGGAGAAUUAUUUCUUGGGAUAAUAACUGAAUUUUAAGUUUUAUUUUAAACAAGGACAUCUGUGUAUAUUUUAAGUGACCAGCUACUAUUUAUAACUAUUUUUUCAGGAAGUAGGAAAAUAUUCUGUUUGCGCUGUAGAGAAAACCAGUAUGCAAAGCACAUGAAUUUACGGAUAUGAUUUAUUAAUGAUGUUCUCAUCUUUUGGAGGGUAGUUGUUACACUUAAAAUAAUUUCUUUUAGUAUUUACUUAUCUUUAUACAAACAUAAAGUAUACCAGAAUAUUUUUAUGGUUACAACAUAGUUAACGUAUGUGACUAACCUUGCCAGUCCUAUCAGAAGUUAUUUUUGCUUAUUAUACAAAAUAUGAAGGUUUUGGUUAUAAAGAGUUACAUAUUAGCUGUUUUGGUUUAAAAACAUCUGGAGUGAUCCCACAAGGAUAGAAAAUAGAUAUAUGUUUGUCCUCUGCUCUCUAGAAACCAAAUAUCUCUAAGACAUUAUUCAAGUCAUUAAAGAAUAUUUAGCUUAGUUUAUGAUUAUCCAACCAUCAACCCCCUCACAGCGAAGUUAUUUAAAUAAGAAUAUUUAGUUUAAUUUAUGAUUAUCCAACUAUCAACCCCCUCAAAGCAGAGUUAUUUAACUGAAAUAUAAGGUACUUAGCUAGCACAUAACUAUAGAAAAAAACUAUAUAUUUAGACAACGGUAAUCUUUCUUUUAUUUCUUCAUGAUUUACAAAAAUGUGACAUAAAUGCAGAUUUUGGUUUGUGUUUGAUUUUGUUUGUUUUAUCCCAAUUUGGUAUAUACCGAGAUAUUGUUGUGAAACCUUCUUGUUUCUAAUAGGUUGAAUAUUGGUUUCUGUAUUGUUUUGUUUAUGGCUUACAGAAAUAUUGGGCGGGGGGAUUAACACAUUGCUUAGGUCCCCGGCUCAGACAGGAACACAGUGGGCCUCUCUCUUAGUCUGGAGCUUUGGCUCUGGCUGUGAGGGGGCUCUCCUUGAGUCUGCAGGUUUGAGAAAAAGUUCUUACUGCUCAGCCCUGAGCCCCCUCAAUUUGUGGAGGCAGAGUUGUGGUCUGCACCAAUAUCAGGUGCAGAAACUUUAAGAUCUCCCUUGUGAUCCCCCUGUGUUUCUUGAUGAUUCAGAGCACCACUGCCAGCACUCUGAAUCACUGACAGAGUGCCGACCACGAGAGAGCUCUUAAACUGAUCUACAGCCAAUAUUGGUGCAAACCAAAAGGCUCCCUCCCUAGAUGAUUAGGGAUUUAUCUCACUCUCCACUGGGCCACCAGGGAUCCAGCUCAUGCUCCAUUUGACCACAAGGGAUAAUACCCCAAAAGGCAAGCAGGAGGAGUGAGAAAACUCACAUACAGAACUCAGCCACAUUCAGAAUCCCCUACACACACAAAAUUCAGCCAUUAGAUACACAACACUCAGUCAGUAUACAAAAGCACUCAGUCACUCCCAUACAGCUCUCAGCUUAACACACACUAACUACACACACAUCACUGUUUGUCGCACACAUAUACAACACUUACCCACCCCACACAUAACACUAACAGAAACAAUAGGGAGCCCACAGCUGGCAUCCUGCCUAUGGCACUGGCCAAUGUUAAUUGUGUUCUGAUUUAGAGAAUAUAUGGUAUCCCUUACGAUGUACAAUGGGUGGACUAACAAACACAUAAUUGUGGCCAGACAAGUUGGGCGCACAGUAACAGAAUGGUUGAGGCCCUGCUUAGUGAGCUUACAUGCUAGAGGGAAUGAGGUAGAGUGAUACAAGGUAAGGGUAGGAGUAGAAAAGUAGGUUAGUAGAAUAGGGAUAAAAAACUCUUUCUAUGAAGGAUCCCGCAAUCUUGCAGGAUCCUCCAUAGACCUCAAUGAUGUACUCUUGCACUUGCUUAAGAGUACAGAGCUGAUCUUAGCUCAUGGCAGCUGAAACACCAGGAGCGGUAUAGAUUCCACUGCCCUCCUUGGCCACCGAAACCUCUGCAUCGAUGUCACAGUCGAUGUCACAUUUCGGGCAAUUCGGACAUUCUGGUACUUCCGAAUGUCCGAAUAGAUGAAUUGCCGAAUUGCCGAAGUCCUAAAGUUCUGAAAUUACAGAAUUUCCGAAGUGCUGAAGUGCCGAAGUUCCCAAGUGCUGAAGUGCCGAAGUUGCGGAAGUUCCGAAGUACAGUAUUGCCUAAGAACUAAUAUACUUACCCAGUGGAAGAAUGAAGAAUGUUACACUGUAUACAAUUUUAAAUAAAAAGUAUACAAACAUAGCCAGGAUUCAGCUGUAAGCAUUUGCAACACUUACAACAAUCAAGUAACAUACAUUCAUAUCAAAUGUAAGUUACUUAGCCAGUCAAUGUAAUGACAGGAAAGAAUAAGUAGAUAACUCCCUAAUUCCCACGGUAUUAGGGAGCUAUCUACUAAAAGGCUGAAAGACCUAAAUUGGUCUUUCAGCCAAAUUUACUAAUACUAAGUAAAGAUUACUUAGUAUUAGUAAAUUAUGCUCCUAAUCGCUAUACCGCGAGUAGGGGCAUGUUUAGUAAACAUUGAGCAGCCUUUGGCUGCUCACUUUAAAAAAAAAAAAAAAAAAGUGCCCCACCCAUGCUGCGUGAGUGGGGGCUUCUAACCUGAAGGGUUGCCCCCCUGGCCCCACCCCUGAACGGCGGGUGGGGGCCCUACAGUAAAAUAAGGGGGGGACGUAUUGUCCUCCCCCUCAGCCCCCACCCCUGAGCGGCGGGUGGGGGGCCUAAAUUAGAAUAAGGGGACCUAAUGUCCUCCCCCCCGGCCCUCACCCCUGAACGGCGGGUGGGGGACCAAAAUUAGAAUAUUAGAAUAAGGGAGGGGGACCUAAAUUAGAAUAUUAGAAUAAGGGAGGGGGACCUCACCCCUGGCCCCCAGGGGCGCCCUAAAGAAAAAUGAUGGGGUGGGGACCUAUUGUCCUCCCCCCCCAGGACCCACCCCUGAGCUUCGGGUGGGGAGACUAAAUUAGAAUAAGGGGGGGGACCUAAUGUCCUCCUCCCAGCCCCCACCCCUGAGCGGCGGGUGGGGGCCCUAAAUUAGAAUAAGGGGGGAACCUAAUGUUUUCCCCCCUGGCCCCCACCCCUGAGCGGUGGGUGGGGGCCCUAAAUACCCAAAAUAAAUAAAUGUGUAUAAAAAGAUUUAUGGCACAGAUAAAAAGUAACCAAAUAAACUUUUAAUAUAUAAAAAUACACAAAAUAAUAUCCAUAAACGCGUUUCGCCAGCACGGCAUUAUCAAUAUGGAGCUACUUUUAUUUGGUUACUUUUUAUCUGUGCCAUAUAUCUUUUUAUACACAUUUAUUUAUUUUGCGACCUGGCAUCUUCUCUACAUCUUGGACUCCAAGCAAUCCUAGGUGGGGAUCAUACCACCAGCGCUUACGUUUAGAAGCAGUUGUCCUGCUCCCGUCUUGUGAGUACCCAUUUUAUGUUAUUUUAUUUUACAUCAACACUCAGUGUACACUAUUGGCUGUCUCUUUUUAUCCGAGUAUUGGGAACUUCGGCACUUCAGCUGACGGAGGAAGCUCACCAUAUAUCCUGCAAGCGGGGAUCAAACUGCUGUACGCCUUUCAUACCGGAGCGAGUCUUACGCUCUGGCAAAUGUGAGUUUUAUUUCAACUUUUUAUUAUUCUUAAUCUUUCAGUUUUAAGCAUAUUGCACUAUUCGGGGCUCUAUUUUUUUUUUUUUUUUUUAUAUAUACCUACCGACUUACACCGAGGAUUAUUUCAAGCACUAUCGUUCUGGAUCAAGCCCAAAUAGACGAUUACAGCAAGACCAUUUUAGGUAAGACUUUUUUUACAUUUCCCUGGACUAUUUGUUAUUUAAAGUUUUCUCUGGCGCAGCCCUUACCCUUUUUUUUUUUCUCUUUCCGGUUCUAUUCCUAAGGGUUCUUUGAGGGAUUCCCUUAUAGGGUUGCUGCAAAUAUAUUAGUUAGCGCUUACUCAUUGUUCUAUCUUGUUUUUAAGUCUCUACAUUUACCUGUCACAGCACUUUGAUUGGUUAGCUUGAAAUCCACCAAUCAGAGUGCUCUGUGUCCUUUUACACAGAGUUGGAAAGUUCUUUGGAAUUUUUCCACGCGGUGUAAUUUGACUCAUGACACUCUGAUUGGUGGAUUAAGUAACCAAUCAGUGUGCUCUGAGCCUAAUUGCACGGUGGGGCAAGCCUUUAUAAGACUUCCCCCUGCCCUGCAGAGCUCAGUCUGCGCGGAGCCCUCCAUGGGUGAAGGAGGAUUAUUAUUUUUUAUUUUUUUAAGUGCGUCGGUUAGUAUGAAUUUUUUAUUUGGCCUUUUUUGGGGCUGAAAAAAGCAGAUUUUAGAAGAAAGAAACCAUCAAAUGGUAAGUUUUUUUUUUUUUUUUUUUUUACAGGUACUUAGUUAAUGGUCCCCCCUCAUUACUUUUAGGGUGAGGGGGGUAGGUAGGGGUUAGUUUUUUUUGGGAGGGGGUUGACUAGGGGUUUGGGGACCCCUAGUCACCUGGGGCUAAAAAAUUUAUUUAGGGCCCCCACCUGCCGCUCAGGAGUGGGGGCCAGGGGGAAGGACAAUAGGUCCCCCCUUAUUGGUAUUUAGGGCCCCCACCCACUGCUUAGGGGUGGGGCCCAGGGGGAGGACAUUAGGUCCCCCUCUUAUUAGUAUUUAGGGCCCCACCCACCGCUCAGGGGUGGGGGCUGGGGGGGAGGACAAUAGGUCCCCACCCCAUCAUUUUUCUUUAGGGCCCCCACCCGCAGCUCAGGGGUGAGGGCCAGGGGGGAGGACAUUAGGUCCCCCCCUUAUUCUAAUUUAGGGCCCCUGCCCACUGCUCAGGGGUGGGGGCCAGGGGGAGGACAUUAGGUCCCCUCAAUUGGUAUUUAGGGUCCCCACCCACCACUCAGGACAAGCAUAUGCAUUGGUAUAUUGACAUAUUGACAUUAGGUACCCCCUUAUUAUAAUUCAGGGCCCCCACCCACUGCUCAGGGGUGGGCACCAGGGGGAGGACAUUAGGUCCCCCCCUUAUUAUAAUUUAGGGCCCCCACUCACCGCUCAGGGGUGGGGGCCAGAGGGGAGGACAAUAGAUACCCCCCUAUUCUGAUUUAGGGCCCCCACCCGCAGGCUGCUCACUGUUUAAUAGACAUACCCCUACUCGCGGUGUAGCGAGUAGGGGCAAAAUUUAAUAAUACUAAGUAAUUUUUACUUAGUAUUAGUAAAUGUGGCUGAACGACCAAUUUAGGGAGUUAUCUACUAAGCUGCUGCAAGAGAAGUCCCGAAAUGCCGAAGUUCCGCAAUUUCGAAGGUCUGAAGUGCCGAAGGUGCCGAAGUUCUGAAGUGUUGAAGUCCCGAAGUUCCAAAGUGUUGAAAUGCCAUACCAAACUGAAGUGCCGAAGUCCCGAAUUUCGGAAUGCCGAACUGAACCAAAAAACUAGCAAGUUGAAUGUGCAAAGUAUUUUCCUUGUUCAACAGUAGACAAUGAAUAGACAUGUGCACCAGUGAAAUUUUUAUUUCGUUCGAAUGAUUUCGUGCUAAAUAAAAAUAAAAUGUGGCAAUCGCGAAUUUUGUCCACAAACCAAUUCGUUAAAAAAUAAUUUGUUUUCGUCCAUUAGAACGAGAACAGUAUUGCGCAUUUGCGAAAAAAAAAAUGCAAGGAGGGAACCGGCAGCGCUACCAGCUCCAUCGUUGUAAUACUCCGCCCCUGCAUUAAAACCUAUGGGUGUCACUAUGAACCCAUAUUAAUAAAAUGGAGGUUAAAUCGCCUAAACAAAUUUAAAACUACUAGUUACUGGGCAGCUAUUGCAAUAAUGAGGGAACUUGCACAGGUGAAAUCCUCCCAAAUGCCCCUACUCGCGGCAUGCCGCAAGUAGUUGCAUGUCGCCUAAACAAAUUUAAAACUAUUAAAGACUGGGCAGCUACACUAGUACAAUAGGUGGGGACCUGACACAGGUUAAAUCCUCCGUGUAGUAGGUUCCCCCGUGUAGUAGGGGCAGUGGCUGCCAGCUGUCAUUUAAAACUGGAUAUAAAAAUCAGUAUCUUACAUAGAAGUGAUAUGUGUAACCAAGAGUUAUAGCAAAAACUAUAACAAUGUUGCAAUAUGAAAAAGUAGCUAUUUUGAUCUAAAUUGCUACUUUUCACACGUACUCUUACAGUAGUGUGAACACUUGUAAAUAGGAUACGUUUAUAUCCAGUUUUUUAAUUCUUGGUUUUUAUCUUGCGGUGCAAAAAAUUACAAACUGGCUUGACCGCAUGGACAAGCAUUUGCAUUGGUAUAUUGACAUAUUGACAAAUAUUUGCCUUAUGUUAUGCUACAAUUAAAAAGGAAAAAGUUAAGCACAUAUUAAGAUUCACUUCUAACAAUAAAAGCAUGGAUCAUAUGCAUGUUAUGCCUAGUGUAUUGUAAAGGCAAGUACGGUCAGCUGAACUGGAAACUUAUAAUCUAGAUCGAAGGCCUCCAAAUUCGCUAAGGUGAAUGAUCGCCCUAAAAGGCCUAAAAGCCUGGUGCUCUAAAAUGUAGGGUUGGGUCAUUAACAUGUGAAUGCUUGUGGAGACAUUUCUCGAGGUGCGUUUGCAUUAUUACCUACAUCCUAGCUUAAAUUAAAGCAACAGAGUAUAUCAUUGAAAUAAUUAAGAAAGUAAAAAAGACACAAUAAACAGCAUAUUAAAAGCACGCUGUCUUGAGCAUAAUAAGGAGUGUUACCUCCAUUAGAUAUGUCUUUUUUGAAGAGUCUCUCAUUGAGAGGCCCAUCUUUGCCUCAGUGCGAACCGUCUUCUCAUCCCUACUCCCCUUAUAUAAUACCUUUAUCUGCAUAUGGCGAGUAUAACGUAUAUAAUAAGUGAAAAACAAAAAAGCAGGAAAAGGAAAGCAAAUAAGAAAAAGAAGGGAUGUCACUUGGGAGUGAAUUUUGCUGCUCCCUGUUGUCCUCUCUGGAUUCUAUGUGCCCAAUCCGCUGCUGCAGCCCACUUACUUGUCAUUGUUCCACGGCUAGGUCUGCUUUCCAGACCUCUCUUAAGUCCAAGAGGAGUUUUUUAAUAUCUCCCUUGGUAGAGGGGGAAGCGUCUGGGUCUGAGGUAUUCCUCUGGUACACAACCCCAUUUACCUGUGUUGUUGCUUGAGAAUAACUGCUGUUCCGGCGCUAUUCGCUUGAGAAUUGCUACUGUUCCGGUGCCAUUUUAGCUCUGGCCUGUGUCAGUGGCCCCACAAAGGACCGUCAGGGAGGUUGGUGCAAACUGCAUGGGUUAGCUUCUUAUGUUUAUGACCCAUCUCGCUGUGGGGAGUGUCAGGGUAUCUUAAGUGCUUGGAUUCCCGAUAUAUUCGUGUUUUUUUUAGGGUUUGUUUUAGCUUGUGGAGCCGGAGCUCUGCACACACGUCUGCUAGGUUAGACCAGUAGCCACAUCUCCCCAUUUAUAUCCAGUUUUAAAUGACGGCGAGCAGCCAGUGGCUAUUGCUGCCCAGGUGCUGGUGCAAUAAGGUAGGGGUUAUUAAUAUAAAUGGGGGGACCUAUUGUCCCCCCUGGUCCCCACCCAUGAGCAGCAGGUGGAGACCAUAAAUAAAUAAUGUGGGGGAAUUAAUGUCCCCACCCAGGACUGGCAGGUGGAGACAACAAAUAAUAAAGUAACAAGGGCUCCCUAAGCCCCUAGUCACUCCCCCCCAAUAAAAAUACCCUACCUACCCCCUCACCCUAAUAAUAAACUAACCCUGAUAAUAAACUAACCCUGUGAAAUCAAAUUUCAUACUUACCAUUAGAUGUCUUCUUUCUUCUUUUCUUUUCUUUCUUCAGCCCCAAAAAAGGCCAUAUAAAAAUCCAUAAUACCCGUCGCAACUGUUAAAAUAUUAAAUGAAAAACCAAACGCCAAAAAAAAAAAUGCCAAAAAAAAAAGAAAAAGCCUGACGGUAAAAAGAGAAUCCUUCUUCACCUGUGGAGGGCACAGUGAAGAAUGAGCUCUGCAGGGUGGGGAAAGGCUUAUAAAAUCUUCCCAAGCCCUGCAAUUAGGCUCAGAGCGCUCUGAUUGGUUGAUUAAAACCAACCAAUCAGAGUGCUCUAAGAGGUAAAUGAAGAGACUGACAGGUAGUCUCUUGAAAUCCAACCAAUCAGAGUGCUCUGUGUCAUUUUACACAGCGUGGGAAAGUUCUUUGGAAUUUCCCAUGUUAUGUAAUUUGACUCAUAACACUGUGAUUGGUUGCUUUCAAAAAACAAACCAACCAAUCAGUGUUAUGAGUCAAAUUACACAGCAUGGGAAAAUUCCAAAUAACUUUCCCACGCUGUGUAAAAUGACACAGAGCACUCUGAUAAUAACGUCAUGGCUUGCCAAAGCGUUCAAAUUUGAAUGUUUUGGGGGUAUGACUACAGAGCAAGGAACAUAGUAAUUAAGGGAAGCUCAAGGAAAAACUCAUUGCCCUGUUGUGGGUCUUCUACAAGUCAAUUGUUGCAUAAUACAGUUUAAGAAACAGCACACACAUAAAAAUACAGCUUUACAUUUUAUAAGACUGCUUAUAAAUCCCCUAUCUCAGCAAACAAAUAUGGGGAUUCAAUUCCUCCGUACGACCAUAUUGUAUUAAGCCCACCACUACAUCACAGUACCACAAUAUUGGUGGGUCCUACACUAACUUCAAUGUGGGAGACAAAUACGGCAGCACCAUUCCUGUAAAAUGCAUGGUCCAGGUGUGUGGCCAAUUUUGGUGAAUAGACAAUUUCUUGUACUCUAACAGAAGUAAGCUGUUCUUUUGUUUUAACCCAGCUUUAACUAAGGCAAGUUGUGAAAGUCAAUUAGUAUGUUUACAUAGAUUGAAAAGAUUUCUGGAAUGCUAUCUCAUGCAUCUACAACUAUUUUUGUAAAAUAAAUAAGUAAUAUAUAUCGUUUAUAAAUUCCAGUGGAAUGGGUUAACCUCCUAAGAGCAGUGAUUAGUUUAGGAUAGAAUAUGACUUGUCUAAACUGGGAUACUUUGGUGGUUUGGCAGACUUAUCCAAUGUAUGACAACAUUCUAUAAGUAAAACCAGAUUUGUUGUUAGUUUGAGAUGUGCACUCUAUUUUUAAUGAAUCACUUGGCUCCAAAAGAAACUUCAUGAUGUAUGCAUGUUUGGAUUAGUGCCUGUUUUUGUGAUCUGUUAUUAUAUAUUUAAGUUGAGGGUAAUUGUACUUUGAUAGGGGCAUCACUAUAUAUAUAUAUAUAUAUAUAUAUAUACAUACAUACAUACACACAUUGCCUGGGCCAAAAGAAAGUCGCCACCUGCAUUUAACUAAGAAAAUAGGUAAGAGCCUCCUAUUGGAUAGUUACUGCAUGCACUGGCGUAUAUAUAGGGGUCGCAUGGGUCGCAGCUGCGCCUGGGACCAUCACUCCAGGGGGCUUGGUCGCCCUGCGGACUCCUGCGACCGGGUACCAGCCGACAUGUUUUGCGUCAAACCACUGGGGCCGCCGUUCAAGGGGCCCAUCGGGUGGCCCAUGCUUUUAGGGCCACCCAAUGGAGAUGGAUUUUCAGGGGGCCUGGUCAGGGCUGGGCAGUACUGUACUGCUGGGAGGAAGUGACUACCCCGGUCACUCCUCCCAGCAAUCACACAGAGCACGCAUGGGAAGAAGGACAGGGAGUCAGAGUGGGAACUCUGACUCCCACCAGCCUGAGCCACCACUGAACCCCAGGAGAAGUCACCCUCCUGCACCUAAAAGGUAGGAAACAGGAGGGUGAUUAAAAUAUUUUGUAUAUGUGUGUGUUUGUAUGUAUGUGUGUCUGUGUGUGUCUGUCUGUAUGUGUGUAUGUGUCUGUGUGUAUGUGUGUCUCUCUGUAUGUUUGUAUGUUUGUAUGUGUGUCUUGUGUGUCUGUGUGUAUGUCUGUCUGUAUGUAUGUGCCUGUGUGUAUGUAUGUCUGUGUCUUUGUAUAUGUGUGUAUCUGUCUGUGUGUGUGUGUGUAUGUAUGUAUGUAUGUGUGUAUGUGUGUGUCUGUGUGUGUGUGUCUCUAUGUAUGUAACUCUGUAUGUAUGUGUGUCUUUAUGUAUGUGUGUGUGUGUGUCUGUUGGGAGGGGGGCCCCAUGGAUUGUGUGUACGCCACUGACUGCAUGGGCGAUUAUCUUUCAGCUGGCAACAAGUUAUUUAACCCUAACUGAUGCAAUUAAUAGCUUCACAUUUCUUUAACAACCAUGUUGAAAGACACAUCCUGUGGUCAUGGAAAAGAUGUUAGUCUGUUUGAGAAAGGUCAAAUCAUUGGCAUGCAUCAAGCAGAGAAAACAUCUAAGGAGAUUGCAGAAACUACUAAAAUUGGGUUAAAAAUAUCUCUGAAACCCAGUAAAAACAACAGUGGUAAAGGUAUGAGUUACCCAAUAAUAUGCAGAAAUAUAAAGAAGAUUCCUCAAAGACUUCUCAAACCAUAAAAUACAUCAUAAAUAAUCUGCAAUACAAAAAACUACAAUAGUGAAGUAAGUGGGGACACCAAGAAAAGUGGAACCAUAAGUUGCACUCACAAAGGUCGAUGAUAAAUAGGCAUCGUGUGUAUUAUCAAUUAAUAUUUAUAAAUAUCAAUAAAUAACAUUGUAACGGACCGUUUUGCACAAAAGGGGAAAAAACCGCUUAGACGAUAAUCCCCUUUCAGAGACAGGCACAGCUACUGUAGAAUCACCAAAACUCAUGAACUGAAUACAAGUGAAUGCUCCAAACUCCCGAACGGCAUACAAGGGAAUGCUCCAAACACUCGAACUGCAUACAAGGGAAUGGUCCAAACACUCGAACUGCAUACAAGUGAAUGCUCCAAACUCCCGAACGGCAUACAAGGGAAUAAGGUAGCACUUCAAAUAAACGAACAGGAACCAUACGAAUAGCUGCUAGCAGGCGAACAGGAAAAGCUUCCAAGCGGCUUACACUCCUGGCAAUCAGUCCUUAGCAGCAUACAGUAAAUCCCCCCAAAGACGAGACAAGGCUCCGUGUUGAGGGUCAAGCAGUGGUCUGUUUAAUGAGGGCUACCUGCCCAGCUUUUAUGCAGGUCUCCCACCUGGUGGACACUCCCCUAGGGGACCAAAUGGGAGACUGUGACAAGGGACAGACAAGUAUACAAAAAGGACACACAGUCACAGUAUAUUCCCACAAUGCAUCCUGGCUUCCUCCCCUCUGCCCUGGGAGAUAAUUGGGAAGUAACUCAAUUAUCUCCCAAGUCAAAGGCAAAACUCCAUUACACACGUGGGAACACAAAACCAGCAUUAUACUUUAAAAUGCACAAAGUAACAUUUACUACAUAAAACACAGACAUGUAACAUAUCCCCAGAUAGCUCAGGUCUGAGUGCACAUUAUUAGGUGAAUGGCACUCAGACCACACGAAUACAGUUUUAAUUGCCAUGGAGCCAAAGUCUUUAAUUCCACGAAUAGGCUCCAUGGCAUAGCUAUCUGGGUUAAAACAUUCCUCCAACAUAAAAUACCGAAUUUACAUGCAUUCGUUCAAUCCGUGCGAAUUAGAACCAGGGGUUGGAGGUUCAGCGGUGCCUGCACGUAAAAGUGUCCGGGUUUGGUGCAUGAAAGCCGGGCAGACAAGCGCUGGCUGCCCGGGGAGCUCCAGAACACCGCCAUCGUGUUAACCGCGGCUUCAGGGAGGUAAAUGGAGGGCGCACUCCAGCUUCUGGGUGGCCAAUUAAGGUCGCCGGCCGGCUUCCCACGGCUCUGGGGAGGCUGAAAAGAGACUGUUUGUUUGGUAGAUGGAAUCUACCGAACGGCUGUGCAGAAAGGGAGAAAUAAAUCCUUCUGCACAGUAAAAUUAACCCUUUAGCUGCCGGUCCAUAAUCCAAAGGCAGCAGGCGGGCAACCAGGCUCCUCCAAUGCAAUGUGGCGAGAUUGGUUUCGUCACAUCUCUCCCCUUUUCCAAACAGACUAACAGGGUAUCUGACCUCCUGCCGGUCAGUGCCCUUGUUAGUCCAGCAGCCCACCCACAAAACAUAAUCAACAGCACAGCCCACCCACAAUAAAUGGUUACUACACCUGGGUAGAGAAGAAGCUUGUCCAUGUCCAGGUGCCUCACCACGGCUGUGCUGGGUACGGGUACGCUGACUUGGUGGGUUGCUGCGUGGGCAGAGACCAGCGGCACUCUGCCCUGUUGCCAGCGCUACUGGGAGGGUAGCCUGGUGGAAGCCUGGUUGUUGGAGGGGGAGACCGACUGUCUCCCCUUUAAAUACACCGCUCUGCUGCUGCUGCUGGAGACUGACUGUCUCCCCUUUAGAUGCACAGUCCUGCUGCUGGAGACCGACCGUCUCCCCUUUAGCUGCACAGUCCUGCUGCUGGAGACCGACCGUCUCCCCUUUGGUUACCCAUCUCUGCUGCUGGAGGGGGAGACCGACUGUCUCCCCUUUGGCUAAACAGCCCUGUCGCUGGGGGGCAGGACCGACCGUCCCUACCCCCUGUGCUGGCAGUGUAGAGACUACGGUCCCAUCUGCACGGUUGUGGGGCUUACUGUCUCCCCUUUGUACAUUAAGCUGCCGCUGGGGAGAGGGGGUAACAAGCUCCUCUCCCAUACAUACUUCCAGCUGUGGGGGAGGGAGACCGACUGUCUCUGCUCCCAAUACAGAGUCCUGCUGCUGGGGAAAGGAGACUGGGCUCUCUAUUCCCGGUAGGACACUCUGCCGCUGGGGAAUGGAGACUGGGCUCCCAAUUCCCAAUGAUCUGUGCUGCCGCUGGGGAAUGGAGACUGGGCUCCCAAUUCCCAAAGCAUCAUACUGCCGCUGGGGAAUGGAGACUGGGCUCCCAAUUCCCAAAGCAUCAUUCUGCCGCUGGGGAAUGGAGACUGGGCUCCCAAUUCCCAAAAAAUCACGCUGCCGCUGGGGAGGGAGGACACUGCUCUCCUCUCCCUGGACUUCCCACUGCCUUCCCGGCAUAUCACUUGGCUGCUGGGGGGCAGGAACAACUACCUCUGCCCCCUGUAUCUCAGCCUGCCGCUGGGGAGGGAGGACGCUGUUCUCCUCUCCCUGCACUUUACACUGCCUUCCCGGCAUAUCACUCUGCUGCUGGGGGCAGGAACAACUACCUCUGCCCCCUGUAACUCAGCCUGCCGCUGGGGAAUGGAGCUCAGGCUCCCAAUUCCCUGCAAUAUCUCCCGCUGGGGAAUGGAGCUCGGGCUCCCAAUUCCCUGCAAUUUCUCCCGCUGGGGAAUGGAGCUCGGGCUCCCAAUUCCCUGCAAUUCAUUCUGCUGCUGGGGGACAGGAGCGACUAUCUCUGUCCCCUGUAACUCAGCCUGCCGCUGGGGAAUGGAGCUCAGGCUCCCAAUUCCCUGCAAUAUCUCCCGCUGGGGAAUGGAGACUGGGCUCCCAAUUCCCAAUAAAUCACACGGCCGCUGGGGAAUGGAGACUGGGCUCCCAAUUCCCUGCAGGACCGGUGGAGAGACCUCGGUCCCAUCUCUACCGGCCACCUGGGGUUCUUCCCAGAAAAUAUCCACAAUGUCUUCCCAGCUGAAUGGGUCUGGUUCUGGCUCUGUCACCUUGCUGUCCUGCUGAAUCUUCUCAAUGGAGUGGAAGAGAUCUCGGUAGUCCUGCUCCAGUUCCCACUCCAGGGUUGCUAGGUGAGCCAGGUCUUGCUCAAUGUCGUGAGUGUCGUCCCAGUCAUACCUGCUCUCCCUCCACUCCAAGAGAUCACUGAACCGGGCUUGUGUAGGGCUCCCAAAUUCAGGCUCUGAAAAAGCCUCCCAUAACAAGCCAGGACCAUCAAACUCCUCUCCCUCUGGCUUGUCAUGCUCGGCUGUCCAGGGCAGGUACUGUGCCCCAUACCACCAAAGCGCCUGGUAUGCAUCUUCCAGCCAAAUCUCCUGCCAUACCCGGUGCUCCAAUUCCUUCACCCAUUCAUCUAGGGGCUGCUCUCCCAGGAAGGGCAUCCGCAGGGCCACUUGCUUCUGCAACCGCUGCUCUUCACUGGGGAGACUCUCACCCCGCUGGUACUGUACAUUAUCCAGAGCCUGGUACCAGAUGCCUUUCCUUAAUGCAUCCCGGCCAUCCAGGUCCUCCUCCUCGUAUGACACUGCUGGUUCCAUGCUGUUGCUGUCAGGGUCGCUGUACUCAGACAUGCGUUGCCCUCAAAUUGUAAAUCCAAAGAAAUGGUGUCUCCUGUAGCUGUCCUGUAGUCCGUGGGAACGAUCCCGCCGCUUGCCACCAAUUGUAACGGACCGUUUUGCACAAAAGGGGAAAAAACCGCUUAGACGAUAAUCCCCUUUCAGAGACAGGCACAGCUACUGUAGAAUCACCAAAACUCAUGAACUGAAUACAAGUGAAUGCUCCAAACUCCCGAACGGCAUACAAGGGAAUGCUCCAAACACUCGAACUGCAUACAAGGGAAUGGUCCAAACACUCGAACUGCAUACAAGUGAAUGCUCCAAACUCCCGAACGGCAUACAAGGGAAUAAGGUAGCACUUCAAAUAAACGAACAGGAACCAUACGAAUAGCUGCUAGCAGGCGAACAGGAAAAGCUUCCAAGCGGCUUACACUCCUGGCAAUCAGUCCUUAGCAGCAUACAGUAAAUCCCCCCAAAGACGAGACAAGGCUCCGUGUUGAGGGUCAAGCAGUGGUCUGUUUAAUGAGGGCUACCUGCCCAGCUUUUAUGCAGGUCUCCCACCUGGUGGACACUCCCCUAGGGGACCAAAUGGGAGACUGUGACAAGGGACAGACAAGUAUACAAAAAGGACACACAGUCACAGUAUAUUCCCACAAUGCAUCCUGGCUUCCUCCCCUCUGCCCUGGGAGAUAAUUGGGAAGUAACUCAAUUAUCUCCCAAGUCAAAGGCAAAACUCCAUUACACACGUGGGAACACAAAACCAGCAUUAUACUUUAAAAUGCACAAAGUAACAUUUACUACAUAAAACACAGACAUGUAACAUAUCCCCAGAUAGCUCAGGUCUGAGUGCACAUUAUUAGGUGAAUGGCACUCAGACCACACGAAUACAGUUUUAAUUGCCAUGGAGCCAAAGUCUUUAAUUCCACGAAUAGGCUCCAUGGCAUAGCUAUCUGGGUUAAAACAUUCCUCCAACAUAAAAUACCGAAUUUACAUGCAUUCGUUCAAUCCGUGCGAAUUAGAACCAGGGGUUGGAGGUUCAGCGGUGCCUGCACGUAAAAGUGUCCGGGUUUGGUGCAUGAAAGCCGGGCAGACAAGCGCUGGCUGCCCGGGGAGCUCCAGAACACCGCCAUCGUGUGGCGGCUAAGUGUAACCGCGACCACCCAGUAACAAUCAAUUAAGCUGCGGUUAACCGCAGCUACUGGGUGGUCAAUUGCCGGCACACGCUCGUUAAGCCGCGGUUAACCGCGGCUUCAGGGAGGUAAAUGGAGGGCGCACUCCAGCUUCUGGGUGGCCAAUUAAGGUCGCCGGCCGGCUUCCCACGGCUCUGGGGAGGCUGAAAAGAGACUGUUUGUUUGGUAGAUGGAAUCUACCGAACGGCUGUGCAGAAAGGGAGAAAUAAAUCCUUCUGCACAGUAAAAUUAACCCUUUAGCUGCCGGUCCAUAAUCCAAAGGCAGCAGGCGGGCAACCAGGCUCCUCCAAUGCAAUGUGGCGAGAUUGGUUUCGUCACAAACAUAAUUCAGAAAUAUGUGGACUUUGCUUUUUUAUGAUGUUUUGCUUAUUUUUCAUCUACCUUUGUGAGUGCAACGUAUGGUUCCAAUUUACUUGGUGUCCCCACUUACUUUGCUAUAGUGGUUUUUAUAUUUUAGAUUGCAGAUUAUUUAUGAUGUAUAUUAUAAAAUUGGGUUAAGCACUGUCCAACGCAUAAUUAAAAACUGGAAGGAUAGUGGGGAACUGAUAGUGAGGAAUUUUCUCUGUCAGGAAUUUCCCCUUGCCAUGGUCUUUUGUAUCAGGCAAGGGGAUGUGGUCGAGGAAGAAAUGUAGUCAGAAAAAAAUCCUGAUUGAUCGGUGAUCACUUAAACGUUUGGUGAAAUCAAAUCGUAGAAAAACAUGAGAACUCAGGGCUAUGUUUAAUAGUGAAAGUAAGAGCAUUUCCACAUGCACAAUGUGAAGGGAACUCAAGGGAUUGGGACUGAACAGCUGUGUAGCCUUAAGAAAACCACUAAUCAGUGAGGCUAAUCGGAACAAAAAGGCUUCAGUUUGCUAGGGAGCAUAAAGAUUGGACAUGGGAGUAAUGGAAGAAGGUUGUGUGGUCUGAGGAGUCCAGACUUACCCUGUUACAGAGUGAUGGGUGCAUCAGGGUAAGAAGUGAGGCAGAUGAAGUGAUGCACCCAUCAUGCCUAGUGCCUACUGUACAAGCCUGUGGGGGCAGUGCUAUGAUCUGGGGUUGCUGCAGUUGGUCAGGUCUAGGUUCAGCAACAUUAUGUGCCCAAAGAAUGAGGUUAGCUGACUAACUGAAUAUACUGAAUGACCAGGUUAUUCCUUCAAUGGAUUUUUCCUUCCCUGAUGGCACGGGCAUAUUCUAAGAUGACAAUGCCAGGAUUCAUUGGGCUCAAAUUGUGAAAGAGUGGUUCACAGAGCAUGAGACAUAAUUUUCACACAUGGAUUGGCCACCACAGAGUCCAGACCUUAACCCUAUUGAGAAUCUUUGGGAUGUGCAGGAGAAGGCUUUGUGCAGUGGUCCGACUCUCCCAUCAUCAAUACAAGAUCUUGGUGAAAAAUUAAUGCAACACUGGACGGGAAUAAAUCUUGUGACAUUGCAGGAGCUUACGAAACAAUGUCACAGCGAAUGUGUACCGUAAUCAAAGCUAAAGGCAGUCCAACGAAAUAUUACUGUGUGUGACCAGGCAGUGUGUGUGUGUGUGUGUAUAUAUAUAUAUAUAUAUUUAGUUUGUGCCUUUGAGUCCUCAAGCACAUUGGACACAUUCUUCAACUGCCUGAUUAUUCAAUUUUUAUUUUAUGAAAAAUAUUGUGCAGCAGCAAACAAAAAAAACAUUUGUGACUUUUAGCAUGAAAUCUGCCACAAUAUUCCAGACAAGUCUUUACAAGUAAGGUUAAUACAAAAAAUCCUGAAAACAAAAAUAUAAUCCACAAUACAAUGUUAUUCAACCAUUUCAUCUAAAUGAACCUUUAUCCACGGAACACAGAAAAUAAAUGGUUAUCCAGCCCAUAAUUAUGUUCCUGAGAGCUAAGUAAGUCAAAUAAAACAAUUUACCUGAUCGACCGCACCUUAUUGCUGUUAAGCCAUAUGAUUAGCAGGUUCUCUGCAUUACCUUUUAAGCCUCUGUUGACUGGAUUACUUCUGCCUAGUAAUACACAUGAACACUGCAAAUCCGUGGACACAAAACAGUAAAUAAAACCUGUCACCUCUCUUUGGCACCUUAACAAGUUGUGAUCAAAACAAAACGUAAACAAAACCUGGAAUUUGCGCUAUAUGUCUGUCCAACCGUAAUUCACAUCUUUCAACCAGGGUUGGAUCAGCGGUGUACCCACACUUAUUAUUAAACAUAAUUUAAUAUGAAUAAAAUGUUUUAAAAAAAUGGGAGAAAAUAAGAUUUAAAAAAAAAAAACGUUUUAGUUCUAUGUGACGUUUUAAAUGUCAUAAUACUGAUUGCUUUUACUGCAAUAAAAUACUCAUAUUUGUAUUCAGCGAUGUCUUGCGUGUAAAACAGUACCCCCUAUGUACAGGUUUUAUGGUGUUUUUGGAAAUUACAGGGUCAAUUGUAGUAUGUUGCAUUUUUCAGUUUUUUCACAUUGAAAUUCGCCAGAUUGGUUACGUUGCCUUUGAGACCGUAUCGUAGCCCAGGAAUGAGAAUUACCCCCUUGAUGGCAUACCAUUUGCAAUAGUAGACAACCCAAGGUAUUGCAAAUGGGGUAUAUUCAGUCUUUUUUAGUAGCCACUUGGUCACAAACACUAGCCAAAGUUAGCGUUAAUAUUUAUUUGUGUGUGAAAAAUAAAAAAAACUAAUUUGAAUGCCAAUUUUGGCCACUGUUUGUGACUAAGUGGCUACUAAAAAAGACUGGACAUACCCCAUUUGCAAUACCUUGAGUUGUCUACUAUUGCAAAUGGUAUGCCAUCAUGGGGGUAAUUUUCAUUCCUGGGCUACCAUACGGUCUCAAAGGCAACGUAACCAAUCUGGCGAAUUUCAAUGUGAAAAAACUGAAACGUAAGCCUUAAAUUUGACUCUGUAACUUUUGAAAACACCUUAAAACCUGUACAUGAGGGGUACUGUUAUUCUUGGGAGACUUCGCUGAACACAAAUUUUUGUGUUUCAAAACAGUAAAAAGUAUCACAGCAAUAAUAUCAUCAGUGUAAGUGCGUUUGUGUGUGAAAAAUGAAAAAAACUUCACUUUCACUGAAGAUAUGAUCGUUGCAAUACAUUUUACUGUUUUGAAACACUAAUAUUUGUGUUCAGCAAAGUCUCCCGAGUAAAACAGUAGCCCCCAUGUACAGGUUUUAUGGUGUCUUGGAAAGUUAUACGGUUAAAUAUAAUGCUAGCAAAUUAAAUUCCCUAUAUUUUCGGCCUGGGUUGUCAAGCAGGUCCCGAAAAUUGUAAUUAAUAAAAUGACUUAAUUAUGUAAAAAUAUUACGUAAAUAUAUAUGUAGAAUUAUUAUAAUAUAGGUAUAUAUAGUGAUAUAUACGUAUAUACUUAUGUAUAUACGUAAACAUGAAAUAGCUUGCACUCACGGACUUGAAGUUUAGAAAAAAUCGCUUUAUUCAAAGCAUAUCAUAUAAUCAUCACACCGACGUUUCAGCCCUCGUCCGGGGCUUUCCUCAAAGUGAAUUGACAAUAAACAUUAAAUCACAGUGUUUAAAUAUAUACCCAUAAAAGAGAAGUUAACUUACCACAGGUGAUAACAUGCAGUAUACCGGCGUCUCUACUGACCUAGUGCGCAUGCGCUAGCAUGCACAACGCGGAAGUGAUGAAAACGUGCGUGACCCGGUUACCAUAGUAACAUACCUACGAAAUAGAAGUUGAAACAAAGUGUAAACACCAAGUGCUAUAAAGGAAACUAUUGAUACAACAGUAUCAUUUAGACAGAGUAGAUACACACGCUUGUGGACCAAACAGUAUUGCAAGAGCGCUAGAUUAAAGCAAAUAUAUUAUGAUGCGUGCAUCAGGGUAAGAAGUGAGGCAGAUGAAGUUAUGCACCCAUCAUGCCAAGUGCCUCCUAAACAAGCCUGUGGGGGCAGUGCUAUGAUUAUGUAUAUAGAUAUAUAUAUUUUUGUUCAACUUGUAUUUUGAUAUCAAUAUAUAUUAAAAUCACAAUUCAGUUAGAACGAAAUAUAUAUAUAUAUUUUAAUUAUUUAUUUAUUAUAAUUUUUUUAUUUUUUAACGUAUUUACAUUUUUUUUAUAUUAUAUAAAAAUAUAUAUAUAUAAUAAUUAUAUAUAUAUUUAAUCAAUAUAUGCUCACAGUGCAUCAUCGCAUCUUUGAGUGUAAUGCUUCUAUUUAUUUUUGGAGUGAUGGGGUCCACCUGAUGGAUGUUGGGCUGGACUUAUUUAAUUUAGCAUUACAAGAUGCUUUGGAGGAGGCUAUGGCUGUGGGGUUGGGGUGGCCCUGCUGAUUGAGGGGGUAAACCAGCGGGUCUUGUGGCGGUAUAUGGCCCUUGUGAACCAGGGUUAAAUCAGCGGUCGGUGAAAAGUGGAUGGGUAGGGCUGUCCCUUCCCUAACCUCAGGUACAGUGAUGGAUGCCCACUGAGCCAACUAACCGGCUAGUGGUUAGCAUUACUCAAUGGUGAAGUUUAAAGAUUUAUAUAUUAAUAUCUUUAUAAAGCUGUGGACUAUAUUAAUCCAAAGCAAGUCUGGUGUAUUUUCAUUGGAAACAAAGGUUGGGUUUAUCAAGGGUCAGGUUUAUGCCCAUACACAGUUACCCUCUACCUACGCACAUGAAAUAUUUACUGUAAGUUUCUGUCAAUAUGUUUAAAUCAACCUACUUAGAUUUGUCAGAAUCGGUGGUGUAUAGUAUUGAGAAUCAUAAUUUACUCAAUGUUAAAAAAAACACCUUUUUAAAUAAUAAAAUUGGCCCUGUGUACACUAUGAUUGGCAAGUGUACAGUUAGUAAAUUAAAUCAUUUUUGUACAAAUAGUCUUAAAAUGAAACUUUUUUCAGUUGUCUUGAAUCUGUAAAGCAAUUACCUUAUUUUUUAACUAAUUUAAUAAGCGGUUUAAAGCUCAGAGGUUUUGAAUUACAAUAAACCACAUUUUCUCAUUGUGGUCACACAUUCCAUACUGUCCGCUUUGAAUGUUGAAGGUUUUGGCUUUUUCACAGAAAAGAGCUCAAUGAGUUCAGUUUAAAGGAGUUUCUAAGAUCCAGUUUUAGCACAAAGCAAAUAGAAAGCUGGGGAUAUGUCAUGACCUAUCUUCACCUCUUUAUAUUAUCUUCCCUUUUCUCUCCACUAUGUUGUCUCUCCCAGACUGCUCAUUGCCUGCCGUGUCCGCUCCUGCCUUCAGCGCCAAUGCUUGUGGUUGGGACGCCCACCGCUAACUAAGCUUAGCUUACUCACAUGGCAGGUGCCUACUCUGCUCAAUAUAACAAUUUCUGGCAGGGCCCGGUGGUGAAUGGGUGGGAAGGGAGGCAUAUGUACUUACAUAUGCAGCACUUCGAGAGAAAGGUAGAGAGGCAUGGUUGACCUCUUAAUAAAUAUAAAAAAAAUGUGUAUGUGUGUGUGUGUUUGUCUGUGAUUGUGUGUGUAUGAAUGUAAAUUAGUGUGUGUAUAUCAGCGAUUAGGUAUGUGUGUCUAUGUUUGUGUGUGUCUGUGAUUGUGUAGGUCUAUGAUUGUGUAUGUAUGUAUGUGAUUGUGUGCAUGUUUGUGAUUGUGUACAUUUUUGCCUGUGAUUGAGUGUUUGUAGGUCUGUGAGUGUGUGUCUGCAUGAUUUUUUGUGAAUAUCUGGUUAUGUUUGUGUGUAUGUUUGGUUGUGUUUGUUUAUAUGUGUCUCUUAUUAUGUGUGUGUAGACCUGUAAUUGUGUGUGUCUUUGAUUGUGUGUGUGUAUGCAGCAUGGGGGAUGGGGGGGCAGAUCUGGAACUUCCAAUAGGCUAAGUAGGUGGCCACCUAGGGCGCUUCUUAAGAGGGGCGCCGGCAGUGGCUUUACUGCUCAUCUGGCCGCCCCCUUAUCAAGUUGGAUUAAUCAUAUAGAGCGGUCUGUGGCUGCUGCCGGCUGCGUUACCAGGUGCUGGAGAGCACUUGCUUGUAGACUAGCACCCAGUAGAACAUCGGUCCGGCAUUCGCCUCAGCCUGCAAAGUAAGGACCCCUCUCCAGCCAAGCACCGCGGCAGAGCAAGGGGGCAUCAUUCACUCGCUCCUGUCCCUUGCCCUGUACGUUAGGACAAGUGAGCAGGAGAAUAAUAGGAAAUGGGGCUGAAAAAAACUGUCAGCCACCGGGCGCUAUAAAGAUGACAGGAACGAAGAGCAAAAUGCAAUGAAGGUAAGAGAUAACUUGCAGUGUGUGCUUCAUAAAACGUGUUUCAGUCUGUUUCAAUCAGUAUGUUUGUAUAUGUCAGUCUGCUUGAGUCUGUGUGUGUGUGUGUGUGUGUGUGUGUGUGUGUGUGUAGGUAUGGGUCUGUCUGUGUGUGUGUGUAUGUAUGGGUCUGUGUGUGUGUAUGUUUCUCUGUGUGUCUACAUGGGUCAGUGUGUGUGUGUGUAUGUAUGUGUAUGUGUGUUUAUGUAUGGGUCUAUGUGUGUGUAGGGUUUAGCGUGUGUCUGCAUGGGUCAGUGUCUGUGUGUGUAUUUGGGUCAGUGCAUGAAUCUUUAUGAGUCACUGUUUGUGUGUGUGUGUGAAUGUGUAUCAAUGUGUAUGUAUGGAUGGAUCUGUAUGUGUGUCUGCAUGGGUCAGUGUAUGUGUCUUUAUUUGUCAGUGUGUGUCUUUAUGGGUCAGUGUGUGUCUUUAAGUCAGUGCGUGUGUGUAUGUAUGGGUCUACACAAUAUUAGGCAGGUUGUUUUAAUGUUAUGUUGAUACAAUGGAGAGUAGUAACCUGAAAGGUUUUACAUAUUUUUUUCUGUGUAUGAUUUCUUGACAAUAAAUGCAACUUAUUUGCAAGCAGCUUAAAGGGUUUUUAGUGUUUUUAUAUUCACUUUGUUUAAAUAAAAAUAAAUAAUCUUGAUGCCAAGCCAAAGGUUUUAUAUGUUAGUCAAGAUUAUUCAAAUGAGCACAGAGAUUUAAAAUUUUAUUACUUGCAUGGUUACCCACUCAGUGUAAAAACCUCUGGAAUGUUCAAAAGCCAGAGUUCAUGUAUGGAGCUGUCAAGUCACGUUGGAAUGUUGAAGACAGCUGAACUAGUUCAUUUUGUAACGUGUACCUAAGAACUCAUUUGUUUGUCCUAAUUACUCCAACGUUCACAACAUAGUGUCAGGAUUCUAGUGAUAGUACAGUCUUCUUGAGGCCACAGAGAGUUAUUGAUUAUCUGAUCUGCCCACUUCCUCAUUCUAUUGGUCCCUGUUCCAUUAUUCUCCCUUAUUUAUAUCCAUUGUGUUCUAAGUUCCAUCCAUAUCCAGUCCAUUCCAUUAUUAUCCAUCCAUACCCCUUUGCAUUACUGUAACGUAUACAGGCUUCCAUUUAAUUCUUUUGGAUAAGUUUCAAAUGAUCACAAUCUUUUUGAAAAACUAUUUAUUUACCUAAGUCAUCAUUAAUGUCCAUGGGAAUUAUUGCAGGUAUAAUAUUUGAGAAGUUUUUUUUUCUAACAGAUUGUGGUCAAUUGAAAAGCUUAUGCAAAAUUAUUAAACCGAGGCUAUGGUAUUUAGAGCAGCCUGAGGCUACUCUCGUUUCUGUGCCCAGUGCUGUCAAUUCGGCAGCCCAGUACACUUUCUUCUGGAUUGUUUUAUACUGAUUUGCCAAUAUAUACCAAUAUACCCAUAAACUCCAGUUCACUGAUUACUUUCUGGAUAGAAAGUCUAAGCUCUAAAUCCAGAGUGGACAUGGACAGUUCAUAUAUCAUGGUAGCGAAACAUUACAGUGACAACCAAAAAACAAGUGAAAUCCUCUCAAAUAAAAAAUAAAUAUUAUUAUUAUUAUAAUAAUAAUGAACUAUAACAUGUAUAGAUAUCGUAGCAUUGACCGAUUCAGUGAACACAAAUAUGGAUUCUAUUUUGCAGCUGGGUAUUCAAAAACAUUUUAGUCAUCUGAAACAAUUUACAAGUGCCUUGAGACAUUGAUCAUAGAUGAUGUUAUCUGUUUUCUUAAACUUGAGAGCUCAAAAUGAGUAAAACUAUGUAAUAAAAAAGAAAUGUAUUUAUAUAGAUAUAUAGAAAUAUGUAAAUCAGUGGAGAAUGUAUUUAAUGUCCAGUAAUUCAGUUUUAUGACAUAACAGCAAUAGGUACUGGAUCCCAGGAGGUCCAUAGGACAGCAGUGAAGCAUGUUUCCUUUAAAGGGACAGUAUAGACACCCAGACCACCAGAAGGAACUUUGUAUUCCUUACACUAUAGAAUCCCUUUACCAAACUGCUACAAAUCCCUUUAACAAAGCAAACUAUUUAGUCAGCUGGCAUAUGGCUAAAAACAUACGCUUAAACAAUUAAAUAAAUAUAUAAAAACCUGGGUUUCCCAUAUUAUCAAUAGAAGUAGUCAACAUUUUGGACCAGUAAUGCCCCUAUGGGUGGGGUCAGUCUGAUAUGCAAAUAUAUAGGUUCUAUCUGUAAUGGCUUAGGUCUCAAAAUCAUUUUUGAGACCUAAGCAGGGUCAAGCUAUUCUGUAGGUUUUUUAAGAAAAAAAUAUAUUGUGGUUAUGUAUGCAACAAUUUUAGAACAAUUUGUGUGUAGCAGCUUCAACACGAGUGGUUUUCCUCCAACUUCUACACCAAAAAAAGUCACCAGAAAUAGUCAUAAACAAUGUGGAAUGUUGCAGUGCUUUCUAUUACUUACCCGAACAUGUAGAAUUUUUAAACAGUUAGUGCCAUUAUAUAACAAAACAAGAACUAAAGCAAUAUAGUGUAAUACAGAAUGAGAUAUAUCAUAGAAACAUAGAAACAUAGAAACAUAGAAUGUGACGGCAGAUAAGAACCAUUCAGCCCAUCUAGUCUGCCCAAUUUUCUAAAUACUUUCAUUAGUCCCUGGCCUUAUCUUAUAGUUAGGAUAGCCUUAUGCCUAUCCCACGCAUGCUUAAACUCCUUUACUGUGUUAACCUCUACCACUUCAGCUGGAAGGCUAUUCCAUGCAUCCACUACCCUCUCAGUAAAGUAAUACUUCCUGAUAUUAUUUUUAAACCUUUGUCCCUCUAAUUUAAGACUAUGUCCUCUUGUUGUGGUAGUUUUUCUUCUUUUAAAUAUAGUCUCCUCCUUUACUGUGUUGAUUCCCUUUAUAUAUUUAAAUGUUUCUAUCAUAUCCUUUAUUCUCUCCAUGUGGAUUCAUUAUACCCUUAUGGGUUAAGAGCUCUUGAAGUUGGGGAAAGGAGUGCCAUCUAUAUGUGUUCAUUUAGGCUCUUUAUAAGAUGAGUACAACUUAUAGUGUACUAUUCCAUGUAUAAUGCACUACAUCAUGUGUAUCUCUGUUUUCUCUUUGGAGUAUCCAUCACUAAGUCAUUGUUUAUUUAAUGUUACACCUUAAAGGACCACUCUAGGCACCCAGACCACUUCAGCUUAAUGAAGUGGUCUGGGUGCCAGGUCCAGCUAGGAUUAACCCUUUUUUAAAUAAACAUAGCAGUUUCAGAGAGUAUGUUUUCCUGGAACUAUAGUGGUCCUUUAAAGGCACAUAUAGGCAAAGUAUUUGAACCUUUAAAUUAGACUCUAAUAUAUGUGAGUGGACCAUCUCGUGUUCAAUAUACACAUAGGGUGUUUUAAAUACUGUAUUACACUAUCUUGUUUUAUUUUUUGCUUUGUUGUAUACUGGCACAAACUGUUUGAAAGCCCCACAAGUUAGAGUAAGUGAUAGAAAGCACUCGACCAUUACACUAUUUUCUCUAAGCUUUUACCCGGUCUCAGAGUUGCCAUAUUCUCUGUUUUUCUUGCAGUGGCAUUUACUAAAAGUAAUUUAAAAAGUAAAUAGCUAACUCGGGUUGAUUAAUGAUUUAUUGGGUAAAUGAUUAUGCAUCCAGCAAAUAUUGCUGUUUUAGUUUAAUUACAUUUUGUAUGCAAUGUGAAAUAGUCUGCGCUUUUGAAGAAAGGGGUAUGUCACAAAAAUUAUAAAUUCCAAUUAAAUCAACUUCCGAUCUGUAACAAACUAAAAGGAGGAAAUUUCAAAGAGUGUGAAUGAAUUCAGUGUGCUGUGUGUGAAUCAUUUGGUUACCAUCUCAGCUGUGAAGGUUUUAUGUUUUGGGAAUAUCUCUACCACCAUUGUUUAUCAGGAUCCUAACCUUUUAUCUAUUCUUAUUAGAAAUAAACUAAGUCUUCCAUGUGGAAUACACUGAUUGACUACAUUCUCUGAAAACAAAAAGCCUUUGUCGACACAAAUGAGCAAUGUGGCAUGAUAACUGCAGAUAGCAUGUCUUCUAUGCUUGCCAUGAAUGUGUAUGGUUUCCACAAAUAAUGUCAGGGGCAAAUUUCAGCAUUAAAAAUUAUCUUUUUUUUUUUUUUUAAUUAGGCUCUGCUUUGACCUUUUUUUUGGUUAUCUGAAAAAAAUGUAAAAAAACUAAACAUUUUAAUGGUUUUUAUUUUUUUCUCCAGAUUUUUCAGUUUACUUUCUUGCUCUUCAUACAUUAACCUUUAACCUCAAGGGAUAUUAUAUUUUAGACCCAUGUACUAGGAAUGUCUCCUGCCACUGCACGAUUAUUAUUAUUAUGAUUAUAUUUAAAGAUCUGUAUAAAUAUUUACCAAAGCAUACCCCAUAUGGAUUUACUGCAAAAAACUUUGACUCUAUAAAUACAUUUUUAAAUGAACUGAUUUACGAUCAGUGUCUUGAGCAAACACUAAUAAUGUUUUAACAGCUGCUCUAAUAUUUAGCCACAGCAAGAAGCCUCUUAAUGAAAUAAUUCCCUACAGCUAGCUUUGACCUGAACAUUUACAAUAUAGUUAAUUAAAAAUCCAACAUCCAAAGUUAUAGGGAAACAUGUCACCCUCUUAAUGAAAUAGGGCUGGAGAAUACCCAUUGAGGUGAUUAGCUAUGAUGGGAGGUGGCCGCAUUCUUAAAAUUUUUAAGGGUCUGCCCUUGACAUAAUCUUUUAAAGGUAUGUCCUCAUUUGGACAAUGGAGAUGGGCAUCAUAGAGUUGCAAAUAGUUGAAAAGAUACUCUAAGCAUCAAAACAACUUUAGCUUAAUGAAACAGUAUUGUUGUAUAAACCCCAUGCAGACUCACUGUUCAAAUAUCUGCCAUCUAGGAGUUAAAUCACUUUUGUUUCUGUUUAUGCCACCUUUCCCAUACCUCCACUUAAAAAAUGUUUUAAUAUUAAAUCAGACAUGACAGGGCACUGUGUUUACUUUAGAUAUGUUUAACUCCUGCUCUAGACAUUGAACUUAAAUCAUGCACAGGAUGCUAUUGCUAGGUAUAGCAGGCUACUAACAAAGCAGGAGAUAAGAAAUUCUAAAAUCAACACACUGUGCAAUAAAAGAAGUUUAAACCUUCGAUCUUGCUAUACAGGAAAUGUGUAGGGGAACUGCAUAGGUAAAAUGUGGGAGAGGUGUGACUUGGGCUCCAAAAAAACAAAGUGAUUUACCUCCCAACUGGCAGAGAAGGGAAUAGUUAGAUUGCAGGUACAUAAUCUUUAUACCAACACCACUUAAUCAAUGCGAAGUUGACACUAAAUACAACUAUACAUUUUGAAAUUCAAUUAUCUGUUUCAGAGCAUCUGUGAGUCUUGAGUAUACGUUGGCAGUUUGCUCCUACAAAAUUUCAACUUUAUUAUUUCUGAUUAACUAAGCCCAAUGUAAGAAGAAAAAUCCCAGAAAUGCAAGAGAAGUCAUAACAGGAACAAUUGUAAAAUCUUUGUGUAACAUUGUGAAAAGUUAAUUCCUUAUCAGUUUUUGAUUGUCUUGCUCAAUUUGUACUGGGUAUCUGACUCAGUUCUUGUAAAAGUGUUUCUUUUAAGUAGGACUGUACCGCAAGGGUGGUCUUUGUGAGAUUGUAUUUUGGUAUAUGUAAAAUUGCAUAAUGCAUCCAGUGAGCAAUUUUAAUUAUUACAAAAAACCAUCAUAAAUAGCAUUAUUGGUAGCUACUUUAAACUGAUAGAUUCCAAAAAUACUGUUAUCUCAGACACAAUUCCUCUUUUACUUAAUACACAAUAAAUAACUGAAUAAAUAAACACGUUCUCAUAUCUAUUAUGAUUUUUGCUAGACCCAGUUCCCGUCUACAUAUCUCCAGUGCAUUCCCUAAAGGAUUAAUAAUGCAAUAUACACUAAUUAACCCAGGCUCUCCUGAGUUCACUUACACCCACUUAGAUACUUGCUUUUUGUCAAGAAAAGCAUUUUUCUCUAAACCACACAUUUUUUUUUAGCCUUUUCAGUAAUGGGUACUUGCAAGAUCACAUGUAAUGUUCUAAUGUUUCUAAAAAGUGCACAUACAUACCUAUCAAUUGGGAUUGCUGUUGAUGUUUUGGUAUGUGAUGUAGAAAAUGUAUUUGCUAGAGUACCAAAAGCUGUAUUGCUUGAAAGUGUCAAUUAAUGCUUAAUGCACAAGGCAAUGCAGAUUACAUUAACAAUGCAUUAUGCUGUCAUUGUUUAGUAUUGUGUUGUUGUUGUCAGGUCUGUCAAUCAAAUGAUUUCAGAGGACAGCUAGAAGAAUAGGAAAUCAUUGGACACCCUAGAUUCACUGGAAUACCAUUUGGGUUGGUUAAUAAACUGGAAUUAUAGAUUAUUAUUUUUUCUUAUUGAAGCCAAAGCACAUUUGUGUAGUUGCAUGUUUAUUAAGCUUCUCUUUUGUUAAAAAGAGAAAAAUAUAUUAAAGGGACACUAUAGUCACCAGAACAACCAUAGCUUAAUGUGUUUGUUCUGGUUAGUAUACCAUUCCCUGCAGGCAUUUUCAUGUAAACACUGCCUUUUCAGAAAAAAAGGUAGUAUUUGCAUUAUUCCCUAUGGAUAGAUAUCACCAGUGGCGACUCUUCAGAUGGCAACUGGAGGUGCUUCGUGAGCAAAGCUGCACAGUAUGCAACACUGCCAUUCAGUGUAUUUAUGCUCUGUAUGGAGACUCUGAACUUUCCUUAUAGAGAUGCACUGAUUCAAUGCAUCUCUAUGAGAAGGUGCUGAUUGGCCAAGCCGGCAUUUGAACCCGCCCCCAUCCAGCCUCCUUGUCAAUUUCAGCCUAUCCAAUGCUUUUUCAGAUUGGCUAAAAUUAUAAAUUCUGAUGAAGUCAGCAAGGAGAAAGAAUGGGGGCGGUGCCAGAGCCUGCAGACCCAUGCGCUGCUGGAAAUAAGGUAAGUUUUAUUAUUUUAUAGAGGGGCUAAGGGAGGGAUAGUCACCUUAAUGGUGGUUUUAAUACUAUGGGGUCUGCAAUACAUGUUUAGGUUCCUGACCCUAUAGUGUUCCCAGUGGUGUAUCCUGGUUUUGUGCUGCCCUAGGCAGGACAAAACUCAGACGCCUCCUACCUCCGUGCCACCCCCACCCAACCCUUCCCCCCAGCCCCACCUUCUAAAUACAUACACACACACACAGUCAGACACACAGACACACACAGUCAGACACACACAGUCAGACACACAGACACACACAGUCAGACACAGACACACACACACAGUCAGACACACACACAGUCAGAAACACACACACAGUCAGACACACACACAGUCAGAAACACACACACGCAGUCAGACACACACACACACAGACACAAACACACACACACAGUCAGACACAAACACACAGUCAGACACACACACACACGCAGUCACACACUCACACACAGUCACACACACACACACACACACACACACAUUCAGACGCACACACACACAUUCAGACACACACACACACAUUCAGACACACACACAGUCAGACACACACACAGUCAGACACAAACACACACACACACACACACACACACACACACACACAGUCAGACACAAACACACAGUCAGACACAAACACACACAGUCAGACACAAACACACACACACAGUCAGACACACACACACACUCACAUUAACACUUUUUUUUUUUAUUUAAACCCCCCCCCCCAGCCUCCUUAUCUUUGGGAAUGCUGGGGGAGGGGGGUUCCCUCACUCCCUGGGGUCCAGUGGCUGCUGGGCAGGCGGCUGGCGAGCGAGCUCUUCCUCUGAGCGGUCUGCUCAGCUCCCUCGCGUGCUGCAGAGUGAGGCUGGGAGCCGGAAUAUGACGUCAUCGACCCGGUUCCCAGCCUCACUCUGCGGCACGCGAGGGAGCUGAGCAGACCGCUCAGAAGAAGUGCUCCCUCGCCAGCCGCCUGCCAGUGCCGCCCGCCCGACCGGCAUGUCAGUUAGCCACAAGGCUAACAAGGCAUUUGCCCUGGGCAUUUGGGGGGCGGCGUUUUUGCCGCCCCCUGAAAAAUGCCGCCCAAGGCAAAUGUCUUGUUAGCCUCGCAGCUAAUACGUCCCUGAGUGUUCCUUUAAAGUAAGAAAAAUCGAUAUUUACAUUCUAUCUCUGGUUGAGUCUUCUGGGACAAGUGUGUAAUGUGUAGGCUUGUAAGUCAUGGUAUUUGUGGGCUGUUACAGCUUAUGUACUUUGGUAACUGGUAGGCAUGUAAGCCAUGUUAUAUUUAGGCAGCAGCUAUUAUCCUCAUGUAUACACUAUAUUCUAUGUGGUAGCCACUUUAGCGCAGAUAUAGCUUUUGAGCAUUGUGCCCUCAUUGCUACCCAUGACAUAUUGGAACUGAUUUUUGCACUGGCUUCUCUGACAUCUUCUUUUUGGGUAAUUCUUGCCAUUUUAGAAGGUCUUGAUACUUAUCUACGAUAUUUCCUUACUGUCAUCUUACAGUUUGAGGGAACAGUGAGACCGUUUUAUAGUAACUAGUGUUGAUCUCCUCUACAUCCUGCUAUUAUGCCUCUUUGGUGUGCAGUGAAUGGGAGAACCAGACACUAGCAUAUUCAAUAUAUAAUGAUAUCUUCUCACUGUCAACACUCUCAACAUAUGUGAGUGUUUUGUACUGUUUUGGGUUAAGGGUAUGGCCAUAGAUGGGUAGCUUACAACAAUUACAUUCAACUGUGUACCCUGUCCCAAAAUUCAAUUUUUUUUUAGUGUAUGUUUGCGAUUUGUGGCUUACACCCACUGCAGGACAUUUGUGGGUUUUUUUCUGCUUUAAUUAUUUUUGGACAAAUCAAUCAAUGCAAGACACAAUAUAUACAUCGCUGUCAGAAUUCCAUGGAUAGUUGUGUUUAUAACGAAAUGACUGUUAUUUUUAUAAAAUGCGAUAAGAUGAUUUUAAGGAGCACGGUUUAUAUUCCAUCCUAUAGGUCAGUGAUGGCUAAACUGCAGCUCUCCUGCUUUUGUGGACUGCGGCCAGCAGCUGGGGGAACAUCUUGAGAACACAACAGCUGGAACGUAAAGGGAAUUCCCACCUGUGGAGCUGUGCUGUGCGGAGGAAAUAUUUCGAUGAUUUCUCUCAGUGGCACAUUUAACACCAACGCUGUAUCAUACAUCAUGGGCCACAUUGAAUAGCAGAAUGCAGGUGAUAUUAUAAAGUAUAUUUCAUUUUUUUCUUUUUCUUUCCUGAUCAUCCAACGCGCAAUAAUGUUUGCACAGGGGGGUGAAAAAUCUAAAAAAAAAAAAAAUAACCUUAAAAUGUCACCAUAUUUCUUAGAAUCUGCAAUACAAUUAUGCUGCAGCUGUUCCUUUCAGAUGUGUAUGGGAUGUAAAGCAAUGCCUCCCUAGAGUUCAUGCGUGGUGUUGUUUGCCUGAAGAAGCCAGAUGGGACAGGAAGCACAUUAGUCGUCAGUGUAACCAAAAAAACGAAAUCUCAGUUCAAUAAUUCAAUAGCUAAGACAGAGCUCUCUCGUGUAUUCAUUUAAAACAAUAUGUUGCAUCACUUUUACAAACUAUUCAAAAACAGUUUGUUUUCGCUAUGUGAAAUCGGAGGCCCUGCUUAGCACAAGAGAUUGGGACACCGUCCUUUUUUAAUUCAUAAACAAUUGGUGCCACUAUUCAUCCACAUUAUUUCUGUAGAAACACACCGUGGUGAGAUAACGAAUUCCUUUACAUCCAGUAACUACAGCCAUGUAUAUAAGAUGCAGUAAUAACUCACUUUAUAGCGUUUUACAGUGUUUUAUGAAUACAGUGUUUCUCAAUAAUAUUAAAAUGAUGACAUUCCUGUAUUGCCCCUAUUUUAAGGUUACCAAUGCAAAUAGUGGUGACUAUUUAUUAUUUUUACUUUAACAUGUUUUUUUGUUUUAUUGCUAUUGCACACUUAGUUUACAUAUAAUGUAUGAUAGAGUAAAAUGUUUUAAGGUUUUUAUAUGCACUAACAAGUGAAACAAGUCUGUUAUUCACUUUACAGUGAUAUUUGCAUUACAGUGGUUGUCCGGAACCGAACAUGCUGUAUUAGUGAGCUGUAUAGCUCAAUUGGAGUAGAAAAAAAAGUGCUAAAAGUAGAUUUAAUUAUUAAAACAUUUGAUGUGGUUUGUAUUGAGAGGCUUGAUAAUUAGAGUUUUGACAAAUUUUCGGCUGCUGUAAUAAUUACAUGAAGAUAUUUAAAUUAUAAAUAAAUAAAUAAAUAAUAAUUAUUGAUACAUACUCCUAGAUAAUCACCAGACAAUCUGCCAUGGACUGCCAAGUAUAGUUUUAUCCAGACCUUGCCAUGCCCCAAAUACUUGGGAACACUAUUUAGAGACAUACAAGGGAGUCAGUUCAGAAAAUGCCCGAUCUUUAUUAAACAGUACAAGGGUUUUAAGCUUUGUGGGCAGAGUGAUAGGUUAAAACUAGUUACUAUAGUGCUGAUAUUAUAGAUCAUAUUGUUCUGGGUUCUAUUUUUCCAACCAUUUCUUGGUGUAAAGUAUGGCUGGUCAUUUGUAGACACAAACAGCUAUUCAUAAAUGUACAAAUAUCAAUACCGGAUUGUGCUUCUCUGAUGAAUGUAGGAAAUAGUAUUCUCAAUUUGUCAAAGCAGCAGUUUACCAUGAUACACUGUUUCUUAUAGAGCAAUACAAGAAACUUAACCCUGUCCCUAUAAGGUCGCAUUUAUCGAAAGAAGAAAAUACUUUUUUUCCACUUUUUUAUGUUUUUAUUCUGUAUCUAUACAGGCUUUUUAAUAGAGAUGAUUUACAGAAAAAAAGAAAAAUCAGUGCUCACAUGACUGAAUCUAGCACGCCAGGAUCAAAAUAUAGAUUUGGUGCAUAGAUUUCUGUUCAGGGUACUUGUUUUAAUAUUUCUCUUCAUUCAAAAUUAUUUAGUUCAAGAACAUACAAAAAGAAAAAAAAAAAAGUAAGACAAGAAACAUCAUUCCAAUAUCAAAAAUAAGCACCUGACUAAUUGUUUCUGACAUAGACAUGUUAUUUCCCACUCAAUUUUCAUAUCUUAUUAUUUAAUCUGUUCACUUUUAAGUUAUUCGUUAGAAUAUUUAAUCUUAAUCUUUGUAAGCACUGAUUCAUUUUUUCUAUUACUUCUAUAUUACUUUUUUUAAUGUUUGAUGUUUUCUUGUGUUGGGUUCAGUGGCGUAACUACCAGGGUUGCAGGGGUCUCAGCUGCGACCGGGCCCAUCACUCCAGGGGGCCUGACCGCCACUGCAAUCCCUGCGGCCGUAGGCUGCCAGAAUACCUUUAGGGCCGGUACUCAGCCGCACCAGUAGGGCCCUGCGGUCGCAGGCUAACCGGCAGGAGGGGAGCGAUGUGCUGUGCUGCUCCCCUCCUGCCGCUGUGUGUAGUGUUGCACUGAGAGAGCACUUCCUGUCACACUCAGAUGGGUACCACAAUCGCGGAAAACAGGUAAGGGGGAAUGGGAAAAUGGAGGGUUUGCAGUGGUGGGGAGGGGAUGGCGAGUCUGCAGAGGAAGGGGGGUAAUGGAGAGUCUGCAGGGGUAAGGGGUGAGAAAUGGAGGGGCUGCAUGGAAAGGGAGAGAGAAAAAUGGAGGGGCCCAGGUAAAUGGUGGGGGAGAGAGAAUUUGAGAAACUGCAGGGGAGGGGAGGAUGGAGAGAAAUGGAAUGGCUACAAGGAAAGGGAGAAGGAGAGAGAAAUGGAGGGGCUGCAAGAGGGUAGAUAGUCACAUGGAGUGGCAAGAGUGGAGGGGGAGAAAGACACGGAGGUGCCUAGGAGAAAUGAGACACAUGGAGGGGCUUUUGGGGGGAUGAGACACAUUAAGGGUCUAGGGGGGAAUGAGACAUGUGGAGGGGAUUGGGGGAGGAAAUGUUACACAUGGGGGUAGGAAAUUAGACACUUGCGGGGGGAUGAGACACAUGGGGGGCCUGGAGGGAGGGAAUGAGACACAUGGGGAAAUGAGACACAUUGGGGCAAUUUUCGCACGGGGGCCCGAGGUUUCUAGUUACGCCUCUGGUUGGACUAAUUUUAUUUACAGCAGAUAUACCAUAUAGUUGGAUGCAAAAUAUCUGUUAGUUGUUGAACUCUUUCUUUUUUUAUCCAUCAUUAUAAUGUAACCUCUAAUAAUGGCUUUAUAUGUACACAAUACAGCAGCAUUUGCGAUAUUAUCUGUAUGUUUUCUCUAAAGAAACAGCAAUUUAUUUUAUGUAUUCUACAUUACCUUUUUUAUAAAAGAGAUUUUAAUUUAAUCUCCAAGUACAUCUAUUUAAAUUACGCAAUUGAUUUACAUCUAUAAUGACAAUGCCAUGGUCAGACCAGGCAUUAUCUUAUCUUGACAUAGACUUUUGACAAAUAUAUAGUUUGCUAUCUUGCUGUGUUUUAAACUUUUCAAAUAUCACACAGUCUGGUUUUUUUUUUUGCACAAAGUGGGGAAAUGAUUUGCUUGUUUUAUUAUUCUAAUAUCUCCCUCUGGUAAUCUUAUAUUGAGAAAUGGAUCCAUGAAAAAAUUAAAAUCGCUCUCAAUCAGUAGUUUAACUUUUUGAAUUGAUCCAAUUUGGCAAGAAUUUUACGCAGACAAUAAUUGGCUUGAUAUUAGGUAAAUAAACAUUAAUCAGUGUGUAGACUUGAUUAUUAAUUUUACAUACAAUAAUCAGAUGAUGGGCUGCAAUAUCCUGAUUUUGAUAGAUCAUCUUAAAAUUUACUGAAUGGGAAAUUGCAAUAGCCACCCCACGUUUCUUUUUGUAUUCCAUAUAACCUUGGAAAACUUCAGUAAAUCUCUUCACUCCCCAUUGUUCAUUUCUUGUUUUUGUCCAAUGAGUUGCUUGUAGAAAACUAAUUUGUAUUUUUCUUUAGUUAAGAUAAUAUACAUUAAAUGUAUUUUGUUAGUAGGAUUUAGUCUCUGCACAAUUGUAAAUAAAAACCUAUUAUAAUGGAAUGCAAUAUCUUCUAUAAUUAGUACCCAUAACAAAUAUCUACACUAUAAACUAUACACACUAUAUACACUACUAAAAAAAGGAGUAAAACCACUGAAAAGCACUAAUCAUAACAAAGAUACUGAGAUCUGGUGUUCACUAAGUAAAUAUUUACAUAGUUACAUAGCCAAAAAGAGACAGGCACCCAUACAAGUUCAGCCUUUCUCACAUCUGUUUUUGCUAUUGAUCCAAAAGAAGUCAGAAAACCCCAGACAAACAAUAAAAAAAAAAAAAUCAUUCUUGACCCCACAAUGGCAGUCAGAUGUCUCCUUGGAUCAAGCAGCUAUUACCCCGCUAAUAAAAAAUUAUAUCCCUGAAUAUUAUGUUUUUGUAUUAAGUAUUUAUCCAAUUGCAGUUUAAACAACUGUACAGACUCUGAUAAAACCACCUCUUCAGGCAGAGAUUUCCACUUAUUGUUCUUACUGUAAAGAACCAUUUUCCUUUGCCUUAGACAGAAUCUGCUUUCUUGUAUUUGUCCAAUGAGUUUUUAGUAGAAAAUCAAUUUGUAUUUUUUUUCUAAUUAUGAUAUUAUAUAUUAAAUGUCUUUUGUUACUAGUAUUCAGUCUCAGCUCAUUUAGAGAUCAAAACCUAAUCAUAAUGGAAUUCAGUAUCUUCCAUAAUUAGCACCCAUAAAAAAAAAAAAAUAAAAUAUAUAUAUAUAUAUAUAUAUAUAUACUAAAGAAGAAAGGAGUAAAACCUUUAAAAGACUCUAAUCAUAACCAAAAUACUGAGAUCUAGUGUUCACUAAGUAAAUAUUUACAUAGUUACAUAGGCAAAAAGAGACAGGCACCCAUCAAGUUCACACCUUUCUCACAUUUGUUUUUGCUGUUGAUCCAAAUAUAGACUAAAAAAAACAGUUUGAGGCACUUCCAAUUUUGCAACAAACUAGGAAAAACAUCCUUCUUGACCCCAGAAUGGCAGUCUUUGGAUCAAGAAGCUAUUACCCCACUAAUUAAAAAUUAUAUCCCUGAAUAUUAUGUUUUUUUGCAAGUAUUUAUCCAAUUGCUGUUUAAACAUCUGUAUAGACUCUGAUAAAACCACCUCUUCAGGCAGAUAAUUCCACAUCCUUAUCGUUCUCACUGUAAAGAACCAAUUCCUUUGCCUUGCACUGAAUCUCCUUUCUUCCAAUCUAAAUGCAUGACCUUGUGUCUUAUGUAUAGUCUUAUUUAUAAACUUGUACACAUGGUCGGGUGAUGUUAAUGAAUUAAAAUCUAUUACUAAAUAUAUAUAACUAGAAAGAGUACAUCAAAAAUUGUGCUAAUAAUCUAUACAAAAAUAUGUUUAACAUUAUUUACCAUAUUAGUACUGCAGUGAGAAUGCAAUUUUAAACAUGUGUAAUAAGAGUCUCAUAUAAGUGUUAAGAACUGUGUUUAAGCUAUUUGAGAAGAUUAUUAAUAGUGGUCUUAAAAAUACAUCCAAAGUCAUAAAAAUAAUAUAUACAUAGAAAUCUUUAGUGUUAAUUUCGAUAUAAGUAUUUUAAAUAAAUAAAUACAAAUUAAUAAGACUAUAAAAAAGUCUCAUAAAAAUACCAAAAAAUUGUGUUUAUGCACUGUGGAAAAAAUAUAUAUAAAUUGUGUUUUUUAACAAGUGCUUUCAUAAUGUGAUAUAUACAAAUGUAAGUGAUAUAUACAAAAAGUUAAAGUCUCAGAAAAAUACCUCUAAAGUUAUGAUAAUAUACAAAAAUAUCUUUAGCAUUGUUUACAAUAUAAGUACUACAGUAAAAAAAAUAUAAAAAAGGUAUAAAUAUAUAAAGGAACUAAUAAAAUAACUUAUUUUUGUCUCAGCAACUCAUUAGCUUGUUACAAAGAGCUAAAAGAUUCAAAUCGAUCGUAAUGUGAGACAAUUGUCUCUGAAUGCUGAUAGCAGAAGCCACAGUUCUUUUAGCUCUUGUAAAAUAAGAAACAUCAGUUAAUAUUCUUAUGUCUUGAAACCUUCCUUCUGUUAGUUUUGUAUUUCUUUUUGCUUUUAAAAUUAACUCAUAAGUGUGGAAGCAGACAGUCACUUAUCUUGGGAUAUGGUUUGGAAGAGUCUUGGGCUACUUAUUAAUCUAUGGCAUUUGUACAUUUUUUUGUUUAUGUUCAUCUUUCGCAAGCCCAAUGCCAGAAAAUAUUAUUUGAUGAAUCGUGCAGCUUAUCUGAUGGAAUUUGUCCUGAGAUCUUUCUUUGAGAGAUCUUGCAUUUGUAAAACUGAAUUAUCCAUUUGAUUUUUUGACUUUCAUACCUAGUGGUAAGAAAAUGUGGAAGAAUGUCGAUACGCCUUUCUCACAUUUUGUAAAAUCUUUUUUCUCUCUUUAUUUGGGAUUAAUUCCCUGAAGAUUUAUUUGAAGUCAUAUUGACACUUAUUUCUCUUGGUUCUCAGUGAGAAAAGCAAAAAAGGAUUAUUUUUUUCUGUUGAUGUCAAACUUAUAGUUUUAAUAAACCUUGAGCACUAAUGCUGAGAGAGAAAAAACAAGCAAAACAAAACAAAAAAGGGAUAAUUAAAUGAUAAAAAAAAUGUCCCAAUUUAUUUUUUGUAUUUAUUUACUGGGGGUAUCUCUUAUCUUGUAGUAUUUCUUACAGAAAUACCAUUUGAAUACCAGCAAAAUACCAUCUGUAUCACAUUCUAUAAGUGUGACAAAAAUAAGUUAAAAUAGUUAAAAAAAAACACUUAUGGGUAGUUCUAAAGAUUAUGACAAUUUAGCAGAUUUGACAUGCCAGUAAUAUCUGCAUGUUGGUUUAAUGCCCACAUACAAUAAGUAUAAUUGUAUUACUAAAACAAGGCAAUUGGCUGCAUGGGGCCAGAGUCCUGCAGCAGUGAUGUGCAUUGUAUCACUAAGAUGACAUUCUCGGGACACGCUACGUAUUCGUCCUAGUGGCAAUGAUCCGAACUUUGGGAGACAUGCCUAUUACCCUGGUCAUCCACUCAGCUCUCUUCUAGUCUUCCUUCCCAAAGCUGCUCCACAAAUAUAUUAAAAAAAUGGCCAGGGUCUUCCACUCUAUAUGUCUUUGCUUUUUAACACUAUAUCUAGUAUGUCAACUUAUUACAUUACUACAUAAUUUGCAAAUAGAUAAAUGAGAGGAUCAGUAGGAUGGAUUAUUGGAAAAUCUGCCAUUGUAGGCACUGUAAUACUGAGACAUAAAGACCAUUUCGAAUUCCAGAUCUUCAAGAGAUUCUGGGUUAACAAUGAAAAUGUGCUACAAUUGACCCCUGCUUCUCAGGAUAGUACUUGCGGCUCCAGGCUGGGUCAGCCUCUUCCUAGCUACAACCCGGGCCCGACAGUAAACUUCCACACUAUUGAAGAACAGUGUGACAGUUAUCUGGCUCUGUUGGCCAUCCACACUGCUUCUGGUCUGGGCUAGUAUAGUAAGAAAUGGAAGUUCAUUCUUUCGCUUUAUCAUAUUAAGUUGGGACAUUAUUCAUUGGCUCCAUUGUAGUGUUAGACAACAAGCUCAGCCAAUCAGUAUUGUCUCAGCUUGAUAUAAGUUGGCAUGAUCGUGACAGAAGUGUGAACCGCUACUUCUACCAUACCAGUUCAGAUCAGAGCCAGACACACAAGGUUACCAUUAACCAGUGCAGUGUGCAGUAGCGGUAAUCGUGUUUAGUAUCUAAUACAUUUGCACACAUUUGAAGAUUUGCUGGGGUUCCACUUACCUUUGGAGCCUGCCAAACACAAUCAUUAUGUACAUAAUUCCCUAUUUCUGCAUCCCGAGAAUUGGAAAGGUGUAAAGGGAGCGGUCCAGUGAUGCAGUUGUGUCACUGGCUCCACCCAAAGGGGGCUAACCUGUCUAGAAAAGGGGUGGGUCUCCCCAAAUUACUGGUAAGUCAGCCUGGCAUGCCUACCAAUCAUCAAAGGUCAGCCCACUGAGGACAGAUCCUGCAGGGAGCACGGUUUCACUGCUCACUGACAGGUCCUGGAGCCCUGAACCUAAUAUUGUCUAUGUCAAUAUAUUGUCAAUGGUUGUUGGGGACAGUCAAGAUGGCAGAACAGGACCCGGAAAUCAGGACUGUCCUGACAGAAUUAAGGCAGUUGGGAGGCCUGUUAUAUAUGAUGUUAAUAUAUGUAGCAUCUGCGCAUCCCCUACCUGGCUUUUUAUUUAUAAGAAAGAGCACAUAUAUGGAGAAAGACAUUGAUGAAUUCCUGCCACAUUCUUCUUCAUUUCCAAACUGCAGAUAAAAUAAGCUUACAUUGCAUUUUUAUAUAAUUUUAUUUCAUCAUUUUGGUUGAUAGUAAAAGUCAGAAACUUCUGUAGAACCUUCUGUAGAACCAUUGAUGAAUUCCUGCCACAUUCUUCUUCAUUUCCAAACUGCAGAUAAAAUAAGCUUACGCUACAUUUUUAUAUAAUUUUAUUUCAUCAUUUUGGUUGAUAGUAAAAGUCAGAAACUUCUGUAGAACCAGAUUGGUUUGUGUCAGGAUGAAGAGUGCAUUCUUGAGUAAGCUAUACACUAUGAAAUAAAACAGACUCUUGGAACACAUUUAGCAAUUAUUUAUUAGUAAAGAAAAUGUUUAGACCCUUUUGAACUUAUUACCAAAUAUAUGCAAAAAGGAUCUUUGCUGACAUGAAACUUAGAUAUAUUCCAGCUGCUCUUCUGGGAAUUACCCAUGUUACAGGCGAACACAGUAAAAGACUUCUCUAAAACGAAGUAAUCAUCAGUGUUUAUUUGCAUUACUAAGGGCACAGCGGCAGAACUGAUGUAAAUGGUGCCCUGGUGCUAGAAGUAUUUUUUGGACCCCUCUAGCGCAAGAAUGGCUAAAUGGUAGAUCAUUAACUAUUGUACAACUCCUGCUUUGCAAGGCAGAGAUCUAGCAUUUUCAAAUCCUUGCAGGGUUGUAUUUGUGAGCAAUGUAUGUGUCUUUGAAUGUAAGCAUAUUUCUACAUUAAAUAUGUGUGUUUUUGAAUGCAGUAGUGUAUUUGUAUGUACUGUUGCCAUUUGAAUGUAGUGGUGUGUGUAUGUAAUUGUGGCCUUUGCAUGCAGUUGUGCAUUUGUGGGUAAUGUUGGCAUUUGAAUGCAGGGGUGUAUUUGUGUAUUGUGCUGGUGUUUGAAGGCCUGGAUGUAUUGCCAUAUACACAUACACUGCCAAACACAGAUAUACAAAUAUAUUGACAUAAGUACACAUACACACUGACACACACACAUACUGACACAGAUAUGAAUACAGACAUAUACAUACAUAGAUACACAUACACACACACAUCCUGACACAGAUACACGCACUGACACACACACAGAUACACUCACAUACUGACAAAGAUACAUAAACACACAAAUACACACACAUACUGACACAGAUACACACACACUGAAACCAUAGAUACACUCCCAUACUGACACAGAUACACACAUACUGACACAGAUACACAUAUACAUACGCACUGACCGAUACAUACCCUCAGUGACCCAUACACACACAGAGUGACCCAUACACACUCACCCACAGUGACUCCCCCCAACACAGUGACCCAUACAUACAUUCAGUGACCCUCCCCACACACAGUGACCCAUAAAUACAUUCAGUAACCCCCCCCACACACAUAGUGAACCAUACAUACAUUCAGUGACCUGCACACACACACAGUGACCCAUACAUACAUUCAGUGACCCGCACACACACACAGUGACCCAUACAUACACUCAGUAACCCACAAAGGCAUGCUGCUGCUUCCUGCUCCUUUUUGUUGAUUGUGGUUAUGCAGAAACUGGCCCCAGGCUCUACACAGUAAUGGGCUCCCUCCUUCCAGAGAGCGCAUAGAGAAAGUGAUAUAAUUUUUUAGUGCUGCCACGGAGGAUUGUGUGCAAAGGUACAUGGGCCCCCCGAUGGGCCCCCUGUGAGUGCCACACCAUCAUGGCAAACUAAGCUGCUUAAUUGCUCCCUCCACCCCCACAAGAAAUCAGCUCCAUCUCCAUUUUCUCCCCCUUGUUCUGGUGCCAUGGACAGAACUCCAAAUCAUUGCCCAUUUCGUUUGUUUUGUGAUAUAUCCAUAUGAAAGGUUGGAUUUGCGGAAUUUGGAUGAAUUAUUAAUUUUCCAAUAUUUGGACGAAUCGUGAUUAGUUUGAACCGAAUGCACAAGUCUAAAACUGCUGAGCUAACAAGUGUACUUCGCUAUACAGGUUAAAAAGCAUUAAUGUAACUAUACAGUAAGUGGAGUAGAUAUACAGGUUAUAUAUGUAUGUAUAUGUGCAUUUUGUACUGACAGAUAUACUUAAUACUAUUUACCUUGCAUUACUGUAGAAGGAAAGUAUAGUAAGCAAAAGUUGUAAGUCUAACCUUGGGCACCACUCCCUCUCAGCCUAAGGGAGACCCGGAAACUCCUGCUAUGAUGGAAGCUGGAAGCCCCUGCUCUUCUGAGCUAUGCCGCGCAGCUGAGCGUGUCAGCUGAUAGCUCAGCUAAUGACCUAAGCCCUGCACUGCGGGGCUUAUCACAGAGCCUUGUGGAAUCCUGGAAAGAAGUCAAACCAUUCCUAAACAUUCUGAUUACUUACAUUGGGUGUACAUGGGCACAGCUUGAUGUAGUUGCUAUGGUGGUUGGAGUGUUCCUUUAAGAGCUUCUUCAGAAUUCACUCACACGUUAAACGAUGAACUCCAUUAGGUAUGUUUUAGGCAUUAAAGGAGUCUAAAGUUAACAUAGGAAUCUAUAAAAAUUUAAAUCUCUAUUUAAGGCUAUGCCAUCUACCCUGUAUUUAUAUAUUUUAUCCUUAUCUCUCCCUGGUGCUUUGCCAGCAUCAUGGCUGUACGAGCAUUAUGAGAGAUGUAGUCCAUAACAUCUGGAGUGCUGAAGGUUGCUCACCCCUUCCCUAUACAGAGGUUAAUGGAAUUUUGCAUUCUUAUUAAUGGAUAUAACCCAGGUGUGUCCAACCACGGACCACCAGCUGUGGUUACAUUAUAAUUCUAGGAAGACAAUGCCUUCAAAGUCUUGCCAAGAAUGGACUGUCCCAGAUUAAACCCAUUAUACAUAUGUUAAAUUAAACACAUGCUGCAUGACUCCACUUUGAGAAGUUGUAUACCAUAUGGCUAAUGAGAAUUGUAAAUGAUUGAAGCAUAGGUGAGAGAACACGUUAGGGCUUUACUAACAAUUAAAGGAAAACAAGCAUACAGCAUACUUCAAGGUCAAUUAUUUUUUAUAUUCAAACAGUUAAAGAAUUACUGGCACAUCACUUGUUUAGCAGACAUGGAGAUUUUCAGUGCAUCUCUACCUAUCAAACUGCUUAUAUUUGUUUAUUUUUCACAAUCACCAUAAUAUUUUUUAUAAUUGCCCCAAUCUUAAAUAUCUUUAUUAUGUAGGUUUCUGAAAUACAAUAUACCUUUAUGCAAUAAGAACUAGUUUGCAUUUCUUUUUUCUUUUUUUAUUUGACUGUCAUGACUCUUACAUAACAAAUAAUGGUUUAAUAAAGACUGAGUUUUAAUACAUGCUCCAAGAAAGUGUAGAGGGCCUCCCAAGUGUCAUGUAUCUGUUGGAGGUGGUGCCAGAGUGAAACUCACAGGAUACAUUCGUAAGAAUACACAUACCCUAUGCUAAUCUCUCAAUUUCAUCUCUCAACCAAACAUCCCCCAAACAUCUACAUUCUAUGAAGCAUGAUGUCAGUGGGUAGGUAUAAAGAGGCGGGCUAGUGACGUCAAUCACAUCACUGUUGCUGCCCAAAGGGGCAGACCUGCCUGGAAAGGAUGCAAGUCUACCCGUAGAAUUGGAAGGUCAGUCUGGAGUGAAUAAAUGCCAGGCAACCUGCCAUUCAGCAGGCUGGCCAACUAGGAGCAGCCAGAAGCUCUUGGUAUGCAGUCUGGGACAUAUAAAAAGGUAGAUGUGAAAGUAUAAUUAAGGGGACAUGUCACACUGUUAGAGUCCAAAGCAGCAAGAGUAUUUAUACAGUGUGCAAAGUCAGCUUUACCUUGACUAAUUUAUAGUCAGCCAGACCACACAGGUUUUGUUCGCCUAGACCCCUCGUAGGUUUCCAUGUUUAAUUCCCUCUGUACAAUGCAAGGGCAAGUGAAAAGUAGUAAAAAAGAAAAAAAUUAAUUAAAUCAAUGAGCCUAUUCUAUGGGCAUGGGUCUAUAGCUUCAGCUCUAUUAUCCCUAUAUUAUUCCGUACCUAAUUGUGUGGACUCAAAAAAAAAAUAAUAAUACACAAAUAAUACACUAUCUUGGUUCCAAAUACUCAAUAUAGCCUUCUUAUGUCAUAGUUGAAUUGGCUAGUGAAAUUGAUAUAUCAGUACAUUACAUCUCCACACACAAUGGACAUUUUAUAUAAAUACUACUAGUGACAGGUUAAUGGUUAAAAGAGCAAUGUUAGGGGUGUUUAUGAAAUUUUAGGAAUAGAGGUAGCAUAAUUGUUACACACCCCCUCUCCCCAAUAUAAAACUAGAAUAGAUUUAUUCCAUAGUGUUAAAUCUCUUGUAGUAAAAACAUUCAGUAAAUAAAAUUCUCCCUCUUCUUCUUAAAGUGGUUUUGUCAUGACUAGUUCACUUUAACUAAAACUCACUCGUAGACAAUAAAUAGGUAAAUAGUUAAAAGCUUUGAGAUCUAGAACCUUUUGUUUUCGCUCCCUCACUGCCAUGUUCAAAGCUCCAUGGUCUCGGCACCUUUAUAGACCCCUCGCCUCUGUUCCUGCCUUUGACCCCAGGCAUUCUGAUUUGAUCGGCACAGCUUGGGCAAACCUCUCCAUCAGUUUGACAAUUGAGCAGAGUGACAUCAUUCCUGUACUUCUACAGACAGUUCAAGGAGUGCAUGCUAGAGAAGUAACCAAAAAACCACGCUGCUGUAUUUGUCGUGCCAGAGAGCAGGAGAACCAUCUCUGCUACUGGUUCGUGGCAAUCAGUUUUACUGAAGCAUUGAUUGAUAGGAGGGGGAGGGACCUAAUUCUAAAUAGUUUUCACUGUCUAAAAUUUGCUAGCAUUUCUGCCAGUAAAGUUUAUAGAUAAAAUUUAAUGGACUUAGAAAUUGUAAUAAAUGUAUCCUGACAGGUGCUUUAACUAAUUAAUCUAAUGAUUUAAAUUGAUUUGGUCAAUUAAAGUGACAAUAAACUUCAUAACAUGUAAUAUAGAAAAGAUAAUUCAGUAACCAUUAGCAUAAAAUUCAAUGGAUUAACAAUCCGUAUACUAAUGAUAAUAAGAAACAUAAAAAACUUUAAGAGUUUAUUUUGUAAUUCUAUGCUAGUAUGCACAAGUCUUUGAAUUCUCAAGGUAAAUAAUGCAAAAAAUAAUCAAACUACUAAUACGUAGGAAGAAAGAUCAACUCGCUAAGGUCAUAAGAACAAUUUCAAAGCACAUUCAUAUCAGGGGAAAUGGUAGAACAAUAGCAAAUCAGCAGGAAAUAUAGAUCUGCAAUUUCGGGAAACUGACAUCUUAAUUCCAUAAUCCCCUAGUCUACCAGACUAAUCAAUGACAUUCCUGUAAACUGGGUCUCUUCCUCGUGGACGCCUUUUCGCAGGGCACAUAUAUAACAACUAUGACAUUAUUAUUUUUAGAUUAAUGUAGAAAUCAAUGGCAUUAAGCCAAAUUUCUGCACAAAAGAACUGAGAUCACCAACGCUUCUUCGUAGAAGAGUGCUAAUUUUUAACCGCCGUGCAUUUCCCAGCAUGCUAUGUUAGGAGACCAUACGUAAUUAAGUUUAUGUCUUGCAGCUGAUAAAUUUAUGCCAUUGCUAAAUAAUUUUUUAUCAAUUUGUGAAAUUGUGAAACAAAUAUUAUAUAGUCUUUCAUAAGAUGGCAAAACAGAACCAAGGGCCAGCUUUGUAAAGGCAAAAGAAGAUCAAUGAUGAAUAAGUGUUAAAUGUUCCAAAGUGUUCUGUUUGUUUCCAUGGAGAUCACUGCUAACUUGGCGCUUGGGCCUCAAAAUAGUACUUGUUUUAUCAUUAAUAGAUAUGAUCUUAUAUGUAAUUACAAACAUUAAAGUGAAGCCUCUAUGUAGAAUUUUGUUUUGCAUCAUUUUUCUAUAAAAAAUUAAAAUGGGCCUAUGAGCAAAUUAUAUUUACACGUUGCAGCAUAUAUUAAAAUAUGUUACCUUUCCGUCUGUUCAUUUUAAAAUUUACUUUUUAAAAAAUGAAAGUUAAGCUGCUUGUGACACGGUCUCUGUAUACACAUCUAGAUGUUUAUAUGUUAGUAUAGAAUAUUAUUUAAUGGUGAAGCAGAAAACCCCCACUUUAUUAAGUUAAAAAAAAUUGUUUUGUAUUUCUAGAUUGAAGGUUCUCUCUUACAUCAAUGCAAUUAUUCAGGCGCAGAGAGAUAAGAUUUUCAGCCACCAAUAAAAAAAACCUGAAAAAUCAAUAUUCCAUAAACAUUAAACAGAGAUUUUCACUAAUAAAGACCAUCUCACACCAACCUAGGGAAAACUUCAACAUGUGAAUAAAAAAGGCUAGCAGGCAACGCCGAUCCCAUGAGUUUGUGAGUUGUGCUGAUGGUGCCUUUUUCAUAUGUUAUUCUCUAUCUUACAUCAGCAUGUAAUUUUUUGCAUGUAGAGUUUGCUUGGUUUUCAAUCAUUUUUUUCAACAGCUAGGGUUGGACUAGGGGCUAUGAUAAGUUUAGAGAUAAGAGUUUGGUAGGAUUUAUGGGAGUCUAAUAUUCAAAGACUAGGGUUUGGAUAAGUGUGUAGUGUCCAUAAGGUACAUGGUAUAGUUGUUAGGGCUAGACUAGGAUGUAUCUAAUUCUGGGAUAGAGAUUAAAUAGCUAUGGUUAGAGACUACAAUUUAGGCAGUAGUAAUGGAAUUUGGACUUCAAGGCCUAUUCACCUCCUAUCAAUGUUGUUGUUGUUUGUCUUUUACUUAUAAUUAAACAUCUCCAUUGCGUAACUGUAACAUGCUGUGGAAACUGUUGGCAUCACAUAAAUGCUAAUAAUGACAAUAAGUAGAUUUGUGGCCAAACCACUUUAAGUCAGGGUGACCCAAUAGGUUGAUUCCCAGAUGGUUUAAAACUGCAACUUCCAUGAUGUUUUGUGAUUUUAAAAGCUUUCUAAAGGCAUGUAAAGCAUCAUGGGAUUUGUAGUUCUACAACAUCUAGGGAUCUACCUUUUGGGCACCCCUGCUUUAAGUCCUACAAGUUGCGAAGUAAGGCCGUCAUUGAUCGGAUUUGUUGUUCCAGUGCAUCUAAAAGAUACUCAAUCGGAUCAAGAUCUGGGGAAUUUGGAGGCAAGACUUUGUCAUGUUCCUCAAACCAUUCCUGAACAAUUGUUGCAGUGUGGCAGGGCACAUCCUGCUGAAAGAAGCCACUGCCAUCAGGGAACACCAUUGCCAUGAAGGGGUGUACGUAGUCUGCAACAAUCUCUAGGCAGAUGGUAUGUGUCAAAAUAACAUCCACAUGAAUGCCAGAACCCAAGGUUUCCAAGCAGAACAUUGCCCAGAGCAUAACACUGCCUCUGUCGGCUUGGUUUCUUCCCAUAGUGAAUCCUGCUGCCAAGUAAACUACACACAUGCACCCAGUCCAUCCACCUGAUCUAAAAGAAAACAUGAUUCAUCAGACCAGGUAAUCUUUUUCAACUGCUCCAUGGUCCAGUUCUGACACUCAUGUCCCCAUUGAAGACACUUUCAGCAGUGGAUAGGGGCCAUCAUGAGCACUCUGACUGGUAUGUGGCUCCUCAGCAAACGAUGCACUGUGUUCUGAUACAUUUCUAGCAUGGCCAGCAUUAUGUUUUUCAGUAAUUUGAGCUAUAUUAGCUCUUCUUUGUGAUUGAUUCAAGUGGGCUAGCCUUUGUUCCUCACGUGCAUCAAUGAGCCUUGGGCACCCACGAGCCUGUUGCUGGUGCACUGGUUUUCCUUCCUUGCAUCACUUUUGUUAGAUACUUACAACUGCAUACUGGGAACACCCCACAAGAAACAAGUAAUUAAUAGAGGGAUAAAUAGGAUGAACAGUAUAAUAAAAUGGAUAAAAAUGAUAUGUUUAUUAAAUGUAUCAUAAAAAAUGUAUGCAUUUAUAUUGCUGUUCCUCUCUUUUCUCCUCUAUUACUCACUGGAUCUGUGAAUAAUAUCAAUAAUUGCUGCCUGUCCAUUAGGCAUCAAUCAGCUUUUUUCCAAUUAAUCUUUUUUUUUUUUUUUUUUGGUACAAUCGAAGGAAUUCGGAAUCACAAAUUAAAAUUAACGUGCCCAUCCAAUGCGUGAGUCAUUUGUUUCAUGAUUAGCCUAUAAGGUGGUUUGGAGAUUGAGAAUUUGCGCGACCAACCGAUUGGACCAAAUUUGGAGGAAUUGCAGUUUGCAAUGAAACAAAUCUUCAAGUCUAACAAUAAUACUAAUGAUAAUGGCGAUAGACUGGGAUUUAUGGAUGUUAGGGCUAGAAAUUUUUGUUAGGCUACAGGAUAUGGGUUUGAAAAUUAGGUUUAUAUGCUAUACACAUGAUACAGUUAAUAAUGUUCAAUUUAAUUAAAAUAAUAGUUCCUUUGGUAUAGUUUGGGAAUUUUGCAAGCCUUUCUUAGGUAUCAUUUCUGAUAUUUUACAUUUCUCUCAUAUUUUUAGAACAUGGCUUCUCAUCAAAUGGCUUGGAUAGGAAAGUACCCAAACACCAGGAAAUAUUACUGCCGUUAUAGAGAAAAAUAAAUAAAUACCACAGGGCACCGCAGGAGACCAAUUAUUUAACAAUAAACCUAGGUUCCUACUAUAUUGAAUGCUUUUCUCACAGAUUAGGGAGGAAGUUUCAGAACAAUUGGCUUGCUGCUGCCUGAAGUGAUCUUCUGCCAUUCCGGACAUUUUUGGACGUUAGAGGAAUUAGAGGAAAAACAUAUGUUUUUUGGAUAACAG